rnacentral:lncRNA from 1 species
UCGCGUCCGCGGGGGGAAUGCCACCUAGGAGAGUUUGUUUAAAUUAUUAGGCGAAAUUUGAAGCGUAAUCGUUUGCUCAAUGGACCUAUAUCGCUGGAUGCCGCCGGGUAGAUGCGCUUCAUUUUGAUUAGUGUUUCGAGGGGCUGUUUAUUGUGGAUUUCAGGUUUCUACUACGGAGUACUAUCUAAUGGCAGUAAAAGAACAGGCAAUUUUGUCUGCACAAGGAGGAUAAGUCUAUUUUGGUGAAUUAUGCAUGCUAAUAUCACUUGCACCAUCUCUAGUUUCGCAAUCACUUUAUUGAGUCUCAUGUUUUUACUCCCAAAAAGGAAUGAAAGAAAAAAACAUUCAUAUCCUACUUGUUGAUACUGUUUGGCUAAAUUAUGGGUCAGUUGAUCGGAUUUGCAUAUUUCUAGAAUGCACCAGUCUGCUCAACAUCCUUUACAUGCACGACCCAAUGCUUGUUUGUUCGUGGGCUGAUAUAACUGUUCGUUCGGUUACUGCUCUAACUGUGGUUGCACUUCACUCAUUCAAUGUUACAAUAUCAUUGUAUCUGAAUGCUGCAAGGGGAACUAUUUUACAUUCUUUCACACGCUAGUCCAUAGGGAUCAAAGGGAUCUAUUAGCCUAGCAAAACUGACAUUUUGGCUGAGUAUUAAACACUGAAAUAUCUCUUCAUCUGUCGCUGCCUAGGUGUCUAAGCCUGACAAUAUUAUUCCAUCUAAUUGUUGUGUGUUAUUAUCUUGAGAAUACAUUGCUCUUUGAGUUUAUUUUCAAUCUUCCAAGCCUGGAGAUAGUUAUUGUAUCUUUUAUCAUCUUUGAAAGUGGUCGGACCCUUCCCCGGAACCUGCGUAAGUGGGAGCUAUGUUCACCGGGCUGCCCUUUUUUAUCAUCUCGAAAAUGCCAUCACUGCUUGUUUUCUUCUCUGCGCACUGUGUUUGAUGGAGACUAACAUUCUAAUAUUUGGCCAUGCAGUGAUUACCUCUUCAAGCUUUUGCUUAUUGGAGACUCAGGUGUUGGCAAGUCAUGUCUGCUGUUAAGAUUUGUUGUAAGAAUCUCUAUAGCAAGUAUGAUCCAUUUUGCUAUCUUUUUCCCAUCUAUAUAUUAUAGAUUUUCCAUGUUAAAAUUAGGUAGUUCAUGGAAUUAACCAUUUUGUUUAUAGGAUGUGUAAGCUGAAUCAUUACUCACAAAUGUUCUAAUUUAAAUUGCUCAACCUGAAUAGUUCAUUAUUGGUAGCUACAUUUUUCCAAAAGAUGAUGGGCAUCCCUAGGUACAUCCAUUUCAGCGACAAGUAAUUCCGUCUUAAAUGGAUGUAUUUAGCUAGAUACAUCCAUUUGAGCGACAAGUAAUUCCGGACGGAGGGACUAGUAUAUUGUAGUAUGCCCUUGAGGACAACUAAUUAUACUUACUAUUAAAUUUACCUGUGCUGCUUUGUUUGUUUGCCUCUUUAAUAUUUUGACUCUUGGCAGGACGACUCAUACCUGGAUAGUUACAUCAGUACUAUUGGAGUUGAUUUUGUAAGCACAUUUACUUUCUGCAUAGUGUUUUUUGGCUGCUACAGAUCCUUCUAUCGAGCAUAACUUAUUUGAAAAAUGUUGACAGAAAAUAAGGACCGUGGAGCAGGAUGGAAAGACUAUCAAGCUGCAAAUCGUGAGUCUAGCUUAUCUCGUGAUUUACGUGAUAUGCAUCUGUUGCUAGUAACCAAGCAUGCCUGUGCAAGUACCAUUUAGUUGUGAUUUUGUUGAUGAUCUGUAAAACUUCAUUGAUACAUAAUUCUCCCAGUAACCACUAUUAUUUUGUGGGAUGCAAGUCAUGAUUGCUAGUUGAAGUCGAUUGAUAUGGAACAGACACACUCAACCGCUUCUCCUGAAUAUAUAUGAACUCUGUUGUCACUUUGUGGUUCUCUUUAGUCUGUCCAGUUAAUAUAAUUGGACCAUUAAAAGUUUUCAUUAUUUGUCUUUCCUAUGAAGAUUCAUUCUUUCUGGAUAUUUAGAAAUGAAAAAUAGAUGUAGCUCAGUUUGAACAUGAGGGAUGGCAGUCUUGCAGCUUAUGUGUACGUGCUCUUUAGAUUUGGCAAUUCCUCUGUUUUUCAUCUCCCACUUCAGUUGCAGUGAUACAGGCUAGUAUUAUCCUUUUCAAAGUUAUUAAACCCCUUCAUUCUACAAAACUUCUUUUUCAGUGGGACAUUGCUAGGCAAGAACGUUUUAGAACUAUUACCAGCAGCUACUACCGAGGGGCCCAUGGGAUUAUUGUAAGUCCGCUUAUACAAACUUCAUUUAGUCAGAUAACGAAUUUACAUUUAUGAUGGCUUGACCGGAAUAUUCAAAUGGUCUUGCAGAUCGUCUAUGAUGUGACAGACCAAGAUAGCUUCAACAAUGUGAAGCAGUGGUUGAACGAGAUUGACCGCUAUGCCAGUGAGAAUGUGAACAAGCUUCUGGUGGGGAACAAAUGUGAUCUGGCUGACAAAAGAGCUGUGUCAUAUGAAACAGCAAAGGUAUCCUUGAGUCUCGUGCAAACAUAAUUUUUUUGUUGUUCACUUCACAAUCUGCAGAUUCCAACCUUCCAUUCCUUGAAGGCAUUCUCACUGCUAUUUGUCUUUAUUUUUAUGUACAUAUAUAGGCAUUCGCUGAUGAGAUUGGCAUUCCAUUCAUGGAGACCAGUGCAAAGAACGCCCUGAAUGUUGAACAGGCUUUCAUGGCCAUGGCUGCUUCGAUCAAGGAUAGGUUUGGACCCACACUGAAACUAGCAUUCAUGAUGGUUUAUAUUAACGUGCUAGUCUAUGAACUUUAGAUGAAGAACUUACUGAAAACAAUGGCCUAUGUUUCCAGGAUGGCGAGCCAGCCAGCCGCAAACAACGCUCGCCCGGCUACUGUACAGAUCCGCGGGCAACCUGUCGAGCAGAAGACCAGCUGUUGCUCAUCUUAGAAAACCAUGCAAACUUGUUGAUGCUCCAUCACCUUUAUACAUGUUUUCUUAUUUGUUUUUACUUGUUAUCUUUAUUCUUUUCUUUCUAGUGUACCUGCCUUCUGAAAUUGUGUAAGUUGGAUGAAUAUAUCUUCUUACAUUCGCAGUUGUUUUUAUGGUUAACUUGGAGUGACACUGCUGGUCAUAGUACUCGAUCUGUACCUAUACGGUUCUAUUACUAAUGAUAUUAUACGAUAGCCGGUUUCUUUUUUCUUCUCUCAUCGAGAUACAAACAAAGAAAGGGAGUAUGAUGAUUUUUUUUUUUUGGUAAUUGGAGUAUGAUUAUCUGAUCCUGUAAUAUGGUGACUCCUGAAUUAUCAUUUUGUCAAAAAGUUCACUAUGAUUAUGCUUUCAGGCUGUCGCACAUUUCAAUGAAGUGAGCACCCUGAAUUUGUAAAAUUGAUCAAUUAAAAUUUGUAACAUUGAGGAGGAGGUCGUCAGCAUGAAGUCGUGGGUCUUCACUUUUUCCUUCUUGAGGGAUACAUUUUCAUGACAACUUUAUAUUAAUAUGGCAGUUUUUAUUACUUGGCAAAUAUGGAUACAUCAUUUUUAGAUUAUACUCUCUCUGUGUCUUUAUAUAAGGCAUUUUUUUUGAUAAAAUUGCACAAUGUAAGGUGACCGGCGGGGCCCUCGAAAAGAGUUAUCUUUUCUGCUUAACAGUCUACCAACCCUGGAAACGGUUCAGCCGGAGGUAGGGUCCAGUGGCGGGAAGACUAGUCACAAUGGGGAGUAACUUAGACUAGUAACAUCACAUUUUACUAGGCUAUGUUACUACUUCCACGGUGGGUAGUAACAUAUGUGUAUUGUCAUGUUAUGGUUCAUUUAUUAGUCUAUAGACUCAUAUUGUCUUGGCACGUGUGAUGUUACAGUAACUAGUUAAGUUACCAUCAUCACCUAUCUCAUCAUUAAAUAUGUGCCACAUAAGCAAAGUUAUCUUAAAAAUGUGAUGUUACUCCCACUGUGGCCAGUCGAAGAGCACUGCACGUCGCGCAGUGUCCGGUGCGCCCCCAGCGGCCCAUGAAAAUUCGGAGGACCGAGUACCGUUCAUGAUUUAUUAUCCUACGAAAUAGACAAGUUAGACAAGGGGAAUUUGUCUUAAAUAGUCUAUAAUUAUGUGCCUUGAAAAUAGUACACCUUAGAUAAAAGAAUAGAGGGAGUAUCGUAGUGGAGCCUUCUGCUUCACUUCCUCCCUUCCCUAAUAUAAGGUUUAUUUGUUUUUUCAAAUAAUCAAGUGAGUGCAUGUUUGACUGAGUUUUAAAAAAAAUAUCAAUAUCCAGAAUACGAAAUUUAUAUUAUUUGUUUCAUCAUGAAUAGUAGACUCAUAUUUUAUCUAUUAGGUAUUGCACAUGUUAUUAUUUUAUUCUAUAAUCUUGGUCAAACAUUUAAAUGAUUGACUUACACGGAAACCAAUACAUCUUAUAUUCUUGAAUGGAGGGUACUAGCUAAUCGGGACAGUGGUUAAACAAAAUAUAAGGAGAAUUGUGGAAUAAAACGUGCAUUCUCAUAGACCGCUGUCACGGGUUGGAUAGAAUUGUCACCAAUCAGCAUACAAUUUGCCUCCACAUUUAUUUUUGCGGAUGCCUCCACAUUAACUUGCUACAUGCACAUGAGCCCAUCUCUGAGAUCCCGGACUUCCGAAGUACCAACAUCUUAAAUGAAGGGAAUCCCACUGCCAGGAAAUAACCCUUGUCGUCUCAAAUGAUAGCACCAGUUCCUCCUGACUCCCGAGCCACUGUCACUAACAAAUGUAGUGUCAACAUUUAGUUUAAAGAGGCCUUCUUUUGGCUUCUGCUAGCCAUGUCUUGGAUUUGCACCUUGGUUCCCUCGGCUAAUCCUCCUUCCGAGCCAUGAGAUUCAUAUUAAUGAUAGUUUAUCAUGCUAAGAAGGAAAUAAUAAUAGAACCGAGCCCCCGUGUCGCUCCCAUGUGAUCGGCUCGGGCGGACGAGAAAGACCUAACAAAGCCUCCACCACGGAUCCUUCUAGUGAUGCAGAUCUUGCCCGAGUUGUAGAAGAUCUGUGUGGUGCACGCUUCGCCUCUGUCGAUGGUACAUCUGGAUUCAUUUAUGACCCCUGAGUAUGGUUAUGUCUCCACCCACACUACCACCGCUAGAGACCAACCAAUCGCUCGUCUUUGUGGAGCAUGAAUGGUUGGGCACCUGCUGUCUUCCACUCGCCUAAGCCCAUCAGGCAGGUGGUUCCUGCUAGUGACGAGGUUGUGGCAUCUAAUACAUUGACGUCUGUUUUUUAGGCUCUCUUCGCUAAACAAUUUCAACUAAUAACCGAAAUGGAUGGACCUGACAAUGACGGGUUGUUGCCUCAUGAAGGGGAAGGCAACCAGGGGCAAGAGCAAGAGGGUUCCCUCUAGCCAUCGUGUGUUCAUCUUGAUGAAGAAGCCUUUUGGGAGCAAAAGUAAGAACAGUGAAACCAUAGAUAAGGCAUCAACGACUGCUUGAUGGACGAUGUUCGAUGUCUUUUUGGUAGGGGUUUCUUUGUGAUGUUGCGAUUUAUUGGUUGAUUUGUGGUUAUAAUGGGUUGGGAGCACAUAUUUGUCCUUUUGAAUGGUCACGGAGAUUCAUGCUUUGAAAGUAGACAACACAUGGUCAUACUGUAACGGUUUUCGCCUGAUUUUUGUUAAUUAAUUAGACAAUUCUAUUCGAGUGCAGUGUUUUGGUGGCUAGUCUCAUCUACACCCAUGUAAAACAAGAAUCACGACAAAUUCAAAAAAAAUCUAUUUUUUUGCACGGUAGAAAAAUUAUUGCGUGAGGUCCUCUCCAAUUUUCAUAUCAUUUAGACAUUUGAGUAACUCUCAGCAAAAAAGGCAAGGACAGUGCAUGAACAAUUAAGUUUUUUACAGACCUCGAAUUUGUCUUUUUUGCCUAGAGCCGCUCAGAUGUCCAAAUGAUUCGAAAAUUAGAGCGGACAUCACGCAUCAAAUUAUCUAUCGCAAAAAAUUAGAAUUUUUUGAAUUUUUCUAGUAUUUGUGUCGACCUUUUCUUCAGCGUGGGUGCAAAUGAGCCUAGGCUCAGAAGUGGAUUAUCGAUUCUACUCUACUUAAUUAAUUGAUGAGACAAUUCUUAUACUUUCUUUGUGGGAAAAAACUUUCGAUUUAUUCAUCUUCAACCAUGGUAGUGCAACAAACAUUAGAAUAAUAAAAAUUACAUCAAGAUUCAUAGACGACCUAGUGACGACUACGAGCACUGAAAUGAGUCGAAGGCGCGCCGUUGUCAUCGCCCCUCCCCCACCGGAGCGGGCAAACCUUGUUGUAGUAGACAGUCGAAAAGUCGUUGUGCUAAGGCUCCAUAUAGAACCAAUGCACCAGAACAGCAACCGCCAUCGAUGAAGAGUGUAUAUCUGAAGGAUCCAAUCCGAAGACACACGAAAACAGAUGAAUGAAGAAAAGAUUCGAGAAAAUCCAUCAAAAAUAGAUUUGUCGGAGACACACCUCCACACGCGCACCGGCGGAUGCUAGACGCAUCACCGAAAAUGGGGGGCUAGGCUGAGAGACCAACAACCCCUCUCGAAGGAGCCGUGUCGUCUCGCUUUUCUAAGCAGGACAUAAACACUAACGAGACUCGAAAAAUAAUAAUCUAAAAACGGAGCCCUCCCACCGGGCACUGGUAAGGGCUGGGAUCCACUCCACCUCCACGACCCUAAGGCCACCGGAGAAGGAGACAGGGCGGGCUGGCGGGAGGCAGACUUGAACAAUAUUUGGAAGUUUAGAUCAGGGAUAUACUCUCUCCGUCUCAAAAUAAAUGACUCAACUUUGUAGUUUUAUACAAAGUUAGUCACUUAUUUUGAGAGACGUACUAGCAUUUUCGCUAAAAACGUGAGAGCAGUUACAGUCUAGUACGUAUGGAUUUUGUAAAUAUUUGCGAAAGAAUAAGAUUUUCAGAGGGUGCGGCGGUGUGCGAGAGCGAGAGGGCAGCGAACACACAACCGACUAGCGGGGCCCACCUGGCGGCCCGUAGAUGGCCUGAGAAUUCCCCACCUUUGAGAUCGGCUUCUUAGAAAACAACCGUGAGAUCGGGUUCGGGCAGGCCGCCGAGUCGUCGUCGUCGUCGUCGUGCCCGAUCCCCACCCCACCACCCGUCCCGCGCCGGCGGCCCGCCCCCCGGAGAUCGGAGCGCCCCACGGGAUCCCGACCUCGCCAUGAAUCCGGAGUAGUAAGUCGCUUGCUCUCGCCUCUCCUCUCCCUCUGGUUGAAUCAAUUGGGGGGCCGGGGAUCUCGCCGGAUCUGGCGCCUGAUGCCGUCGAUUCGCGGGAUUCAGUUUGGACGCGACUCCUAGUCCCCUCCUACAUUCGGCGGAUUUCGACCGUGGCCAUGCAUGAUCUUUGUCAUGCUAGGGAAAAGCGUAGGAAUAGUACUGUUCGUGUAGGAAGAUCUUCCUUGGGUGCGAAGCGAUCGCGUGACCGACGCGCCGCCGGGCUCGCCCUCCUCCGGCUCAAACCGCCGGCCGGCGAGAGGUCAUUAGGGUAGCGAGAGGACGCAACAGAUGGCCUCUGUGCAGGGCAAGAAGAUGGAGUUGGGAUGAGGAUGGUUGUGUGGUGGAGUGAAUGUUGCCUGCUAGAUGCACACACACACACACACACACACACACACACACACACACACACACACACACACACACACACACACACACGGUUGUUUGUACCAGAUGAUUUUUCCCACAUAAUCAGAGAUGGCUUCGGUGACGAUGACAAGCAGGAAGGACCCAGCUGUGAUGAACCUUUAUUCGUCAGUGGUUUAGCCAUGUUAUUAGUUUUCCUGUCACUGCCCAAUUCCUGUGUUUCUUCAUUCCUCUGUUUUGCACAAGAGUUUCUUCUCCAUUCCUGUGAUUUUCGUUUUUACUGUGGAUUGCUGUUAGGGAAUGUCAAUGAAAUAAUUGGUAUCUAGUAAGAACUUGCAUUUCUUUUUCCUUUUUUUUUGCAUGAAAAGGGAAAUAAGGACUAUGGGGUUGGAGUAGAGUUGAUGUUUUGUUAGAAGGAUGCCUUUUGCUCUUAAAGGGUGACUGGUGAUAGGCCUAUGACCGCUCUGAAAACACUUCUCGUUGUUUUAUGGACAAGGCAUUUUUGGUUAGCAUGUUGGUGGUGUGACCCUAUGAUGCUUAGUGCAUCCAUAUGUACAUUCUACAAGCACGAUUGGGUGCUUGCUCAAUCCGAUUGGUGAUGUUUUUGUAUUGUGCACAUGGGUAUUGCUUCUGUACCAUAUGAAUGUGCAUCAUCGCUCAUGGAAUCGUUCUCUUGGUAGUGUUGUAGCUGUUGUGUAGCUUCACCAUUGGAAACUGCUACUUAUCUAUUCAGCUUCCUUUUUCUAUCUUCUUCUUUUUUCCGAGAAAACGCAAAGACUUUGUGUUUCUUUUCAUUGAAAAGUGGGGGAACAGGUUACACGCCUCUUAGGAGGUGGUUUGCGGUUUAUCUUUUUUCUAUCUCUCUAUACAAAUUUUCUAACGUGCACUGCUGUACUACAACUGAAUCAAAUUUACUGAAUAUUACUUAUAUAGAAUACCAAAAUAUCUGUCUAUGAAUUAAUGCACAAACUUCUAAGCCUCAAGAUGUUGAUUCUAUCCAAUUUUGGUAUUAGUUAUCUUAUAUUUAUUGAUCUUUGUAUUGCUGCUCAAUGUUCUAAGCAUGGAUAUAAUGACUCUCUCAUUUUGUUAUUAUUGCCAUGUAAAUGUUGUCAUUACUUGUUUAUUUGGUAUAGUAAGUACAUUUGAUUGAGACUAAUAUCCUGUUACUUGACAUGGCAGUGACUAUCUCUUUAAGCUUCUGCUUAUCGGAGACUCAGGUGUUGGCAAGUCAUGCCUUCUCUUAAGAUUUGCCGUAAGAAUCCCUAUCUAAAGCAUGAUUUGUCCACUAUCUUUUAUAGGUCUUCCCUUUUUUAAUAUGCAUCUUCAUCUUAAAAGUUUGAUACAAGUUGUCUUCGGGAUAUCAUGGAAACUGUCAAUUUAUUUUUAGCCUCAGUAAACUGUAUGAUUUCCCACCACUUAAUACGAAUGAGGAGUUCAUUGUUGGUAGCUACUGUUUCUUAACAACAUGGAGAUGAUCCCUAUAACAUUCUUGUUGUUACUAGUUAAUUUACUCUGACCUCCUUAAUAUCGACUCUUUUGGCAGGAUGACUCGUACCUGGAGAGUUAUAUCAGUACUAUUGGUGUUGAUUUCGUAAGUAUAUUUACUUUCUUGGUCUGAGUGUUGAUGUUCUGGCUACCUUAAUUGAACUUGUAGUUUUGUUUUCUUCCAACUUUGUCGAUAGAAAAUACGUACCGUGGAGCAAGAUGGAAAGACUAUGAAGCUGCAAAUCGUGAGUCUAUUCUUUCUUUCAUUAUGUCCAGUAUGCAUGUACCAUCAAAUCCAGAUUGUCCAUCGAAUCCAGAUUUGACAAAAUAGAAGACUUUAUCAGGAAACAUUUCAUUUAUAGCCCUCUUCUGUUUUGUGGAGUUUGCUGGAUUUUCCCUUUGCACAAUAUAGCAUGCCGUUAUUCAUCAGUAUUUAUGUGGUUGUUAGUUGAGGCCAGUUCACAGGAAACAGAAACUCCACUAUGCCUGAAUAUGUAGGCAGUUGCACAACCCCUUUUUACCUUUUGGAUUUUUUAGUUCCAUCCAUUUAAAUUACUGUUGAACAUAAAGAAUAAGAGUAGUUUGGCCCAUUAAAUUAAAUGUUAUAAAGUUUCUUAGUUCGCAUAAAGAAUCGCACUUUCAAGAUGUUUUUAGAUACCAAAGUGAUGCCCAUUUUGAACAUCAUAUUUAGGGGCCUGAUAGUAUGUCAUUUAAAUACUUGGGUGGUAUGGUAGCUCAUGCUGCACCUACUGUUGGCAUUUGGCGAUUCUUCCUUCCUUUUGUGUGACACAUUACAUUUAGUGAUGCAAGAUAUCCUUUUCCUUUUCUUUAAACCCCUCUUUGGUACCUUUGUUUUUAUCAGUGGGACACUGCUGGGCAAGAACGCUUCAGAACUAUUACUAGCAGCUACUAUCGAGGGGCUCACGGGAUCAUUGUAAGUUUGUUUAUGUGAAAUCUUAUUUUUAUUUUUCACAUGCUAUUUAACACGCAUAAAUGUCCACUUUUUAUAUAUUUUGAAUACAUAUAUACAAAUGGGGUUGCAGAUUGUCUAUGACGUGACAGACCAGGACAGCUUCAACAAUGUGAAGCAGUGGUUGAACGAGAUUGAUCGCUAUGCUAGUGAGAAUGUUAACAAGCUUCUUGUAGGGAACAAAUCUGAUCUCACUGACAAAAGAGUUGUAUCAUAUGAGACAGCGAAGGUACCUUAUGCUUUACUCAUAUCUGCUGAAGCAUUCUUUCUGCUCUUUGUGUUUAGAUUUGGUGUAUGCAGGCAUUUGCUGAUGAGAUUGGCAUCCCAUUCAUGGAGACCAGUGCAAAGAAUGCCUUGAACGUUGAGCAGGCUUUCAUGGCUAUGUCUGCUUCAAUCAAGGACAGGUGUGUGUUCCCAGACGGUUUAAUUAGCACAGGCCAUCCUACCAGUACACUUUUUUUUAACUACCAUCAUUUUACACUUUAUUUACUGCUCAUUGAUGCUCUGUUCGUAUAGUAUCAUAACCAAAAUUGCCCUACACUCUUUAGCAUGUUGCUGUUAACUGUUCUAUGUUAUUCCUCACGGUGUUGUUCUAUAUACACCUCAUAGAAAGAGCAUAUAAUUAUGAAUACAAAUCUUGGUUUCCAGGAUGGCGAGCCAGCCAGCCGCAAACAGCGCUCGCCCAGCCACGGUGCAGAUACGCGGGCAACCUGUCGAACAGAAGACGAGCUGCUGCUCUUCUUGAAAUGCAGGCAGCCGCCAUCCAUGUUACCCAAAUGGAGACGCAAACUUGGCCGCGCCAUCCUUGAGUCCAUGCUUCUACAUAGGCCUACUACAUCUUACACCUUCAUUCCAUUCUUUCUAGUGUACUUAUUAGCUCUUGAAUCGUUGGACUUGUAACACCGGAUGGAGUUUGGAGACAGUAUCUUCUUCUAGUUGUGUAUCUUGAAUGGUUAUAUGUUACGAUUUGCAGCUGUUGCUUUUCUUCCCUAAAUUUAAGGCGAUUUCUACUUUUACUUGACCAAAAUGUUCGGUUCUUCAAAAUAUUAUCUGACAGUAUGCUUAUCUUUGUGGUAAAAAAGGUCCUGGUUAUAGUUUUCAAGGUGACUUGUUGAUUGUUGAAGGCAGCAUUAGGAAUGUGCACAACAUGACAAGUUAAUUGCCAACAUUAAAUCAGUUGGGGCAUGUUUGGUUGCCUGCAUCUUUUGUCUCAGUGGGCCAGGUUGAGUUGCCUGUAUUUGUGCUAUUGGUAUGCAAAGCAGAGCUGUUUUGCUCAUCCCGUGGUGGUCUUACACACAAAUGCAGCACUUCAUAUCAUACAUAACAUAAGAACAACAUAAUACAAUUAACAGUACAAAUAAAAACAAUAGCUAAAUAGUUCAGAAUAGCUAAUUAGACCAUAGUUUAAGACAUCAAAGGCAUCCCAUGCCCCUGCACGACCCUAGGGUGUUGAACCCUGAGCAAAAUAUAUAGUUUUGCACUAAGUUGAGCAAAAUAUACAGUUUUGCAGUAAGUUCAGACGAUCAAGCCUAGCCCGGAGAGCCACAUGACGAGCAAGUCGCUGUGGAUGAUUGUGUGGCGCCGACAGAAGUAGUCUCAACUGCUCCCGAGCACCAUCUGCCCCUGAAAUGUAUGGCCCUACACCUAGAACUCACACCACUUGUUGGCAGAGGCUGACAACACCAGGAGGGUUGACGACUGCCAUUUCUUUAUCACCGUCCUAAAGGCAGGCGGGAUGACCAGCAUGGUGAUCUCUUCCUCGUUCUUGAUUUGCACGUAGAACCCGACUGACGUCCGUGUAUAUAGAGUAAAUUGCUCAAAGCCACUACAUUUGUGGCUAGAGUACUCUAAAACCACCACUUUUGCCAGAAAUCACAAAAAACCACCGCUUCCGCGGCAAGUGAGUAACAAAUCACACUGAUUUGGAAUUGAACGCAUCUAACAGCAAAACUGACAUGUGGGACCCGUCUAUCCGGGCUGAUGUGGCAAAGACUAGUCCUAGUCAAUGGUUGACCUGCUAAGGUGGACGGGGGUCCUACCUGUCAGCCGCACCUCUUGUCUUCUCUCUCCUCUCCUUCUUCUCGAUAAAGCGGAAUCCCAGCCGCCACGCCAUGGCCGGCGCAGAGAGAAGCAGGCCGCGCCCGCCUAGCUCCCCUCCUUCUCCUAAUCCAGCGGAAGGCGCCCGCCGGUGCCGGAGCUCUACGCCGCCGGUGGCGCCACGCCCUGCCUCCCCCAUUUCUCCUAGAUCCGGUGGGAUCCCAGCGUCGACAAGCCAAGGUCGGGCGAACUCCUCCUAGCCUCGACGCCCCGCCCCGCUACGACAGCCACUGCUGCUGGCCAUGGCCAGAGGCGAGCUCCUUCCCCUCACGCCACAGGCAACCUCUCCCAUCCCUGUCUUCCUCGCGAGCGCUGGCACGAGAGCCACGGGAGCCAGAGGCGGGGAAGAUGUGCUGCUCGCCAUGGCAACGCUGGUGGCGGCGACGCACCGGGAACCCCAAGGCGCGGCUAGCGGACUUCUUCGCAGGCUUCGGCUCCGGCGGCGUGCUGGUGGCGCGCGACACCGACGACGCGCGUCGACUCUCUCCCUGUCUUCCUCGCGAGCGCCGACACGAGAGCCACAUGAGCCAGGGCGGGGAAGGUGUGCUGCUCACCGUGGCAACGCUGCUGGCGGCGGCGCACCGGGAACCCCUAGGCGCAACUAGCGGACUUCUUCGCAGCCUCCGGCGUGCUGGUGGCCACGGCACCGACGACGCACGUCGACUCUUCUCCGCGGAGGACGCGCUAGUGAGUGGGGAGGCCUGGUGAGAGGGGACCGGCUCGCCGUGCGCAGAGGAGGGGCGGAGCUCGUCGAGGUGCGGACGGAGGGGCAACAUCGCCGGAGAAGUGCUGGACCGACGGAGUAGGUGUUGUGCGUGCACAUGAAGUACUCGACAAAAUGCCAGAGCCUAGUCACCUGUCUACGUGUUUAUUCUUUGCCAAGUCAGCCUGCAUGUGGGCCACGCAUGUCAGUUUUUCACUUAGUCAUGGCUGACAGCUUGUUUAGUGCAUUUUGUUACUCACUUGCCGUGGAAGUGGUGGUUUUUUGUGAUUUCUGACAAAAGUGGUGGUUUUGGAGUACCUUAGCCACAAAUGUGAUGGCUUUCAGAAAUUUACUCGUGUAUAUACGGUUCAAAUCUCGUUUUUAUACAUCCAUCCAUGACGCUGAUGAGGCAUGCCAGGGUGUCAGGGACAAGGCGUGUGGCCAACUUUUGUUUUGCGGAAAACCCCCCAAAAUAGUUGUUUUCUUAUAAAAAAGGCCCUCAAAGAAAAACUAAUAAAUUGUAAAAUUGACUAUUAAUCAAUUUAUAAUAUUUAAAAAUAGUCCGGGGUUCGAACCAGCGACACGGGUGUGCGUGGCUAGCCAGCCGACCGGUUUAAAUAUGAAGGUGUUUGGUUCGCAAUUUUACACCCAGUAUCUGAUUACAUCGCAAACCGAUACCGUUAAUCGUGUUUGUUUCGCUUUGCAGAUCCCGUAUAGACAGGUCCCAUCACAGUUUACUUUACAGCCAGAGCGAGCCGACUCGGGCGAAUUCUUCUGGCUUCGAUCCCCAAUCCCGGCCCAGUCCCGUGCUAGCUGCCUAGACGUGGGGUUCCUGUUUGUUUCAUUUCUUUUUACGCUGGGGCUCUGAUUUUCUUGCCGGUAUCCAUUACCGUUAGACACUUAACCAAACAAGAAUGGAUUUUGGCCGAUAUCGUUUACAUCAACGGAGUAAACCCAUUACGUUUACGUUGCCGUUCCACUUCUGGAACCAAACACCUUAGUGUUAAGAAAGGAUUCAUAUGAUCCUAAAAAAAAGGAAUCGUAUACUUUGUAAACAUAAAGCUGAACGACAUAAAUUAAACUUUUUUAUUCGCAGCCGCACAUACUCCGACCGACAACAUCAGAUGGCAAAAUGAUAGAUUUAGGUUUAUGACAUAACGAGCCCUUCCUGAAGGCGUUGCUGUUGAAGAAUCCCGUCAUUCGCGCGGUGCCAUGACAUAGUUGAUGCGGAUAUGGUCAUUGUUGUAGUUUGCCUAUUAUGGAUUUGGUCGCUCAGAUUUUUUUCUUCAUCGUCUACACAUGGCUUUGGUCUUAUAUGACUUUGCUAUUUGCUGACGUGAUGUUGUGUGCGUGCGUUAGUGUUGGCUGUGUGCAUCCUAGCUAUGCAGAGGCCGGAUGUGCUCAUUAUGUUUGUAUCCUCUUGAUGCCUCAUUUUGAGCUAAUAAAAUACACUCUUUGUCGAGAAAAAUGACAUAACGAGCCCGUGUGGCUAAAACGGACCACAGUGUGGCUCAGUUUUGAAUGUGUUUGUUUUUUUCAUUUCAUUUUUAAAAUAUAUUAAUUAUAAUUGUGUGUUACAAACAAUAUACAAUAUUUAAAACAAAUUACGUUAAAAAAGUUUAUACUAUUUCAUAAAAUACAUAUGCAAUAUUUUAACAGAAAUAUACAUAAUAAAAUUAUGAGUUAAAAAUAUAUUUUAUAAUUUGAAAAAAUAUUUGCAUUUUAAUAAAAUAUUUUAGAAAUGUUCAUAUAUUUUAAAAAAUUCUCAUAUAAUUUUGAAAUUUCCACAUUAUUAAUAAAUUAUUUAUGUAGUCUAUCAGUGUGUUCAUGCUUUAAUUAAAAAGGUGUUAUUUUAAAAGGUUUAUAUAGUAUAUAAGUUUGUGCGUUUCUAUAAAAAAUAAAUGCAAGCCUAGUGCGCCAUUAGACUGCGUAUCCUCACAUGAAUAAUAGUUGAAUCAUCUAAACAUUUUGAUCUUCAUAAAUAGUUUCAAUUGUAUGAAUAUAUUUUAAAAUAACACAUGAUUUUAUUUCAGGAUACACGUGAAUUCUUUUGAUACAUGACAAUUCAUUGGUUGGAGUGACAUCCGUGCCUGGUCUACAAGCUUUGGUCCGAUGUGCGGAUCACAGAGCCGGUGCUGUUUUUGCUGGAUUAUUAAAUUCCUUUUAUUUAUUUUGUUCGGUCCAAUGUUUAUAAAGGUUAUGAAUCAUUAAAUAUUAGCAAAUGUGAAGUUGUCGAGCGCACGCUCUGGACUGGUAGGUUGCAGGCUCGAGCCACCACAUGACAAGUUUUAGUUUUUAUUUUAUAGUUUAUCAGUUUCUCCCCGAGGGCCUUCUUGUAAGAAAAAUAAUUUUGGGAGUUUUCCGCAAAAACCAAGCCAAACACCCUUGUCACUUGCAGCGGGUCCCAUGGCAUGCUGGCACGCCUCAUAAGUAUACAAACAUCAUUUAAACCAAAUAUGCACGUCUAUGCCAAGUUAUGAAACCGGUUCAAUGUAUUUUUCAAGUUUAGGCACUAGAAUGCAUAUUCAUGACAAGUUCAAGCACCGCAGAUGUAUUUACCUCGGAAAGUAAUAAAAAACACACACAAGAAAAUCAGGAAAAAAAACCCAGGCCAAAACCAGAACAGCCAGCAAGACUUCCAGAAUGGUCAAAAACUCAAUCUGGCCACGGAUUACUUUAAGGGAAUCUUGGGUCAGCCUGCCCCCUCGAUGAACACAGUGGACGUACACUCACUAUACACUUCACUUGAUCUAUCUGCCCUGACGGUACGGUUUUCUUGGGCUGAAAUCGUACAAGCCAUCAGCUGCUCACCCAAUAACAGAUGUCCGGGCCCUGACGGUUUCACCAAUGAGUUCUACAAGGCUUUCAAGUUGCUGCUAAAGGAUGACCUGCUCCAUUUUUUUGAUGAUUUCCACAGAAAUGUGGUUGAUCUUACUGGUAUUAACUCCGCUUUCAUCACCCUGCUACCUAAAAAGGAUACGCCCCUGGAGAUGCGGGACUUCAGGCCGAUUUCCCUCGUACAUAGCAUACCCAAACUGGUUUCUAAGGUUCUGCCUUGUAGGCUGUGAAGGAAAUAUGCACUAGAGGCAAUAAUAAAGUUAUUAUUUAUUUCCUUAUAUCAUGAUAAAUGUUUAUUAUUCAUGCUAGAAUUAUAUUAACCGGAAACAUAAUACAUGUGUGAAUACAUAGACAAACAGAGUGUCACUAGUAUGCCUCUACUUGACUAGCUCGUUAAUCAAAGAUGGCUAUGUUUCCUAACCAUAGACAAAAGAGUUGUUAUUUGAUUAACGGGAUCACAUCAUUAGUUGAAUGAUCUGAUUGACAUGACCCAUUCCAUUAGCUUAGCACCCGAUCGUUUAGUAUGUUGCUAUUGCUUUCUUCAUGACUUAUACAUGUUCCUAUGACUAUGAGAUUAUGUAACUCCCGUGUGCCGGAGGAACACUUUGUGUGCUACCAAACGUCACAACGUAACUGGGUGAUUAUAAAGGUGCUCUACAGGUGUCUCCAAAGGUACAUGUUGGGUUGACGUAUUUCGAGAUUAGGAUUUGUCACUCCGAUCGUCGGAGAGGUAUCUCUGGGCCCUCUCGGUAAUGCACAUCACAUAAGCCUUGCAAGCAUUACAACUAAUAAGUUAGUUGUGAGAUGAUGUAUUACGGAAUGAGUAAAGAGACUUGCCGGUAACGAGAUUGAACUAGGUAUUGGAUACCGACGAUCGAAUCUCGGGCAAGUAACAUACCGAUGACAAAGGGAACAACGUAUGUUGUUAUGCGGUCUGACCGAUAAAGAUCUUCGUAGAAUAUGUAGGAGCCAAUAUGGGCAUCCAGGUCCCGCUAUUGGUUAUUGACCGGAGAUUUGUCUCAGUCAUGUCUACAUUGUUCUCGAACCAUAGGGUCCGCACGCUUAACGUUACGAUGGCAGUUAUUAUUAGUUUAUGCAUUUUGAUGUACCGAAGUUAGUUUGGAGUCCCGGAUGUGAUCACGGACAUGACGAGGAGUCUUGAAAUGGUCGAGACAUAAAGAUUGAUAUAUUGGACAACUAUAUUCGGACACCGGAAGGGUUCCGUGGAAGUUUCGGAUAAAACCGGAGCACCGGGGGGUUACCGGAACCCCCCGGGGGGUUAAUGGGCCUUAUGGGCCUAAUGUGGAGAAGGAAGGGGCUGCCUGGGCAGGCCGCGCGCCCCCUCUCCCCCUAGUCCGAAUUGGACAAGGAGGGAGGGGCGGCGCCCCCCCUUUCCUUCUCUCCCUCCACCUCCACCCCUCCUGCGCGCCUCCUCUAGGCCGGCCGCACCCCCCCUUGGAUCCUUUAUAUACGGAGGCAGGGGGCACCCUAGAACACACAAGUUGAUCCUCGUGAUCGUUCCUUAGCCGUGUGCGGUGCCCCCUUCCACCAUAUUCCACCUCGGUCAUAUCGUUGUAGUGCUUAGGCGAAGCCCUGCGCCGGUAGAGCAUCUUCAUCGUCACCACGCCGUCGUGCUGACGGAACUCAUCCCCAAAGCUUUGCUGGAUCGGAGCACGGGGAGCGUCAUCGAGUUGUACGUGUGCUAAGAACUCGGAGGUGCCGGAGUAACGGUGCUUGGAUCGGUCGGAUCGGGAAGACGUACGACUACUUCCUCUAUGUUGUGUUAAUGCUUCCGUUGUCGAUCUACAAGGGUACGUAGAUCACACUCUCCCCUCUCGUUGCUAUGCAUCACCAUGAUCUUGCGUGUGCGUAGGAAUUUUUUUGAAAUUACUACGAAACCCAUCAGUGGCAUCCGAGCCUAGGUUUUAUAUGUUGAUGUUAUAUGCACGAGUAGAACACAAGUGAGUUGUGGGCGAUAUAAGUCAUACUGCUUACCGGCAUGUCAUACUUUGGUUCGGCGGUAUUGUUGGACGAAGCGGCCUGGACCAACAUUACGCGUACGCUUACGCGAGACCGGUUCUCCCGGCGUGCUUUGCACAGAGGUGGCUUGCGGGUGACAGUUUCUCCAACUUUAGUUGAACUGAGUGUGGCUACGCCCGGUCCUUGCGAAGGUUAAAACAUCACCAACUUGACAAACUAUCAUUGUGGUUUUGAUGCGUAGGUCAGAUUGGUUUUUGCUUAAGCCCGUAGCAGCCACGUAAAACUUGCAACAACAAAGUAGAGGACGUCUAACUUGUUUUUGCAGGGCAUGUUGUGAUGUGAUAGGGUCAAGACAUGAUGCUGAAUUUUAUUGUAUGAGAUGAUCAUGUUUUGUAACCGAGUUAUCGGCAACUGGCAGGAGCCAUAUGGUUGUCGCUUUAUUGUAUGCAAUGCAAUCGCGCUGUAAUGCUUUACUUUAUCACUAAACGGUAGCGAUAGUCGUGGAAGCACAAGCUCGGCGAGACGACAACGAUGCUACGAUGGAGAUCAUGGUGUCGCGCCGGUGACGAUGGUGAUCACGACGGUGCUUCGGAGAUGGAGAUCACAAGCACAAGAUGAUGAUGGCCAUAUCAUAUCACUUAUAUUGAUUGCAUGUGAUGUUUAUCUUUUAUGCAUCUUAUCUUGCUUUGAUUGACGGUAGCAUUAUAAGAUGAUCUCUCACUAAAUUAUCAAGUAGUGUUCUCCCCGAGUAUGCACCGUUGCCAAAGUUCGUCGUGCCCAGACACCACGUGAUGAUCGGGUGUGAUAAGCUCUACGUCCAUCUACAACGGGUGCAAGCCAGUUUUGCGCACGCAGAAUACUCGGGUUAAACUUGACGAGCCUAGCAUAUGCAGAUAUGGCCUCGGAACACGGAGACCGAAAGGUCGAGCGUGAAUCAUAUAGUAGAUAUGAUCAACAUAACGAUGUUCACCAUUGAAAACUACUCCAUUUCACGUGAUGAUCGGUUAUGGUUUAGUUGAUUUGGAUCACGUGAUCACUCAGAGGAUUAGAGGGAUGUCUAUCUAAGUGGGAAUUCUUUAAGUAAUUUGAUUAAUUGAACUUAAAUUUAUCAUGAACUUAGUACCUAAUAGUAUCUUGCUUAUGUAUGUUUGAUUGUAGAUAGAUGACCCGUGCUGUUGUUCCGUUGAAUUUUAAUGCGUUCCUUGAGAAAGCAAAGUUGAAAGAUGAUGGUAGUAAUUACACGGACUGGGGCCGUAACUUGAUGAUUAUCCUCAUUGUUGCACAGAAGAAUUACGUCCUGAAAGCACCGCUGGGUGCCAGGCCUGCUGCUGGAGCAACACCAGAUGUUAUGAACGUCUGGCAAAGCAAAGCUGAUGACUACUCGAUAGUUCAGUGUGCCAUGCUUUACGGCUUAGAAUCGGGAUUUCAACGACGUUUUGAACGUCAUGGAGCAUAUGAGAUGUUCCAGGAGUUGAAGUUAAUAUUUCAAGCAAAUGCCCGGAUAUGAAGUCUCCAAUAAGUUCUAUAGCUGCAAGAUGGAGGAGAACAGUUCUGUUAGUGAGCAUAUACUCAAAAUGUCUGGGUAUAAUAAUCACUUGAUUCAAUUGGGAGUUAAUCUUCCAGAUGAUUGCGUCAUUGACAGAAUUCUCCAAUCACUGCCACCAAGCUACAAGAGCUUUGUGAUGAACUAUAAUAUGCAAGGGAUGAAUAAGACUAUUCCCGAGCUCUUCACAAUGCUAAAAACUGCGGAGGUAGAAAUCAAGAAGGAGCAUCAAGUGUUGAUGGUCAACAAGACCACUAGUUUCAAGAAAAAGGGCAAAGGGAAGAAGAAGGGGAACUUCAAAAAGAACGGCAAGCAAGUUGCUACUCAAGAGAAGAAACCCAAGUCUGGACCUAAGCCUGAAACUGAGUGCUUCUACUGCAAGCAGACUGGUCACUGGAAGCGGAACUGCCCCAAGUAUUUGGCGGAUAAGAAGGAUGGCAAGGUGAACAAAGGUAUAUGUGAUAUACAUGUUAUUGAUGUGUACCUUACUAGAGCUCGCAGUAGCACCUGGGUAUUUGAUACUGGUUCUGUUGCUAAUAUUUGCAACUCGAAACAGGGACUACAGAUUAAGCGAACACUGGCAAAGGAUGAGGUGACGAUGCACGUGGGAAAUGGUUCCAAAGUCGAUGUGAUCGCGGUCGGCACGCUACCUCUACAUCUACCUUCGGGAUUAGUAUUAGACCUAAAUAAUUGUUAUUUGGUGCCAGCGUUGAGCAUGAACAUUAUAUCUGGAUCUUGUUUGAUGCGAGACGGUUAUUCAUUUAAAUCAAAGAAUAAUGGUUGUUCUAUUUAUAUGAGUAAUAUCUUUUAUGGUCAUGCACCUUUGAAGAGUGGUCUAUUUUUGAUGAAUCUCGAUAGUAGUAACACACAUAUUCAUAAUGUUGAAGCCAAAAGAUGCAGAGUUGAUAAUGAUAGUGCAACUUAUUUGUGGCACUGCCGUUUAGGUCAUAUCGGUAUAAAGCGCAUGAAGAAACUCCAUACUGAUGGACUUUUGGAACCACUUGAUUAUGAAUCACUUGGUACUUGCGAACCGUGCCUCAUAGGCAAGAUGACUAAAACACCGUUCUCCGGUUCUAUGGAGAGAGCAACAGAUUUGUUGGAAAUCAUACAUACAGAUGUAUGUGGUCCGAUGAAUAUUGAGGCUCAUGGCGGAUAUCGUUAUUUUCUCACCUUCACAGAUGAUUUAAGCAGAUAUGGGUAUAUCUACUUAAUGAAACAUAAGUCUGAAACAUUUGAAAAUUUCAAAGAAUUUCAGAGUGAAGUUGAAAAUCAUCGUAACAAAAAAAUAAAGUUUCUACGAUCUGAUCGUGGAGGAGAAUAUUUGAGUUACGAGUUUGGUGUACAUUUGAAACAAUGCGGAAUUGUUUCGCAACUCACGCUACCCGAAACACCACAGCGUAAUGGUGUGUCUGAACAUCGUAAUCGUACUUUACUAGAUAUGGUGCGAUCUAUGAUGUCUCUUACUGAUUUACCGCUAUCGUUUUGGGGUUAUGCUUUAGAGACGGCCACAUUCACGUUAAAUAGGGCACCAUCGAAAUCCGUUGAGACGACGCCUUAUGAACUAUGGUUUGGUAAGAAACCAAAGUUGCCGUUUCUUAAACUUUGGGGCUGCGAUGCUUAUGUGAAAAAGCUUCAACCUGAUAAGCUCGAACCCAAAUCAGAGAAAUGUGUCUUCAUAGGAUACCCAAAGGAAACUGUUGGGUACACCUUCUAUCACAGAUCCGAAGGCAAGACAUUCGUUGCUAAGAAUGGAUCCUUUCUAGAGAAGGAGUUUCUCUCGACAGAAGUGAGUGGGAGGAAAGUAGAACUUGACGAGGUAACUGUACCUGCUCCCUCAUUGGAAAGUAGUACGUCACAGAAACCUGUUUCUGUGACACCUACACCAAUUAGUGAGGAAGCUAAUGAUAAUGAUCAUAAAACUUCAGAACAAGAUACUAAUUAACCUCGUAGAUCAACCAGAGUAAGAUCCAUGCCAGAGUGGUACGGUAAUCCUAUUCUAGAAGUCAUGCUACUAGAUCAUGAUGAACCUACGAACUAUGAAGAAGCGAUGGUGAGCCCAGAUUCCGCAAAAUGGCUUGAAGCCAUGAAAUCUGAGAUGGGAUCCAUGUAUGAGAACAAAGUCUGGACUUUGGUUGACUUGCCCGAUGGUCGGCAAGCAAUUGAGAAUAAAUGGAUCUUCAAGAAGAAGACUGACGCUGACGGUAAUGUUACUGUCUACAAAGCUCGACUUGUCGCAAAAGGUUUUCGACAAGUUCAAGGGAUUGACUACGAUGAGACCUUCUCACCCGUAGCGAUGCUUAAGUCUGUCUGAAUCAUGUUAGCAAUUGCCGCAUUUUAUGAUUAUGAAAUUUGGCAGAUGGAUGUCAAAACUGCAUUCCUGAAUGGAUUUCUGGAAGAAGAGUUGUAUAUGAUGCAACCGGAAGGUUUUGUCGAUACAAAGGAGCUAACAAAGUGUGCAAGCUCCAGCGAUCCAUUUAUGGACUGGUGCAAGCCUCUCGGAGUUGGAAUAAACGCUUUGAUAGUGUGAUCAAAGCAUUUGGUUUUAUACAGACUUUUGGAGAAGCCUGUAUUUACAAGAAAGUGAGUGGGAGCUCUGUAGCAUUUCUGAUAUUAUAUGUAGAUCACAUAUUACUGAUUGGAAAUGAUAUAGAAUUUCUGGAUAACAUAAAGGGAUACUUGAAUAAGAGUUUUUCAAUGAAAGACCUCGGUGAAGCUGCUUACAUAUUAGGAAUAAAGAUCUAUAGAGAUAGAUCAAGACGCUUAAUUGGACUUUCACAAAGCACAUACCUUGACAAUAUUUUGAAAAAUUUCAAGAUGGAUCAAGCAAAGAAAGGGUUCUUGCCUGUGUUACAAGGUGUGAAGUUGAGUCAGACUCAAUGCCCGACCACUGCAGAAGAUAGAGAGAAAAUGAAAGAUGUUUCCUAUGCUUCAGCCAUAGGAUCUAUCAUGUAUGCAAUGCCGUGUACCAGACCUGAUGUGUGCCUUGCUAUAAGUCUAGCAGGGAGGUACCAAAGUAAUCCAGGAGUGGAUCACUGGACAGCGGUCAAGAACAUCCUGAAGUACCUGAAAAGGACAAAGGAUAUGUUUCUCGUAUAUGGAGGUGACAAAGAGCUCAUCGUAAACGGUUACGUUGAUGCAAGCUUUGACACUGAUCCGGACGAUUCUAAAUUGCAAACCGGAUACAUGUUUACAUUAAACGGUGGAGCUGUCAGUUGGUGCAGUUCUAAACAAAGCGUUGUGGCGGGAUCUACAUGUGAAGCGAAAUACAUAGCUGCUUCGGAAGCAGCAAACGAAGGAGUCUGGAUGAAGGAGUUCAUAUCCGAUCUAGGUGUCAUACCUAGUGCAUCGGGUCCAAUAAAAAUCUUUUGUGACAAUACUAGUGCAAUUGCCUUGGCAAAGGAAUCCAGAUUUCACAAGAGAACCAAGCACAUCAAGAGACGCUUCAAUUCCAUCCGGGAUCUAGUCCAGGUGGGAGACAUAGAGAUUUGCAAGAUACAUACGGAUCUGAAUGUUGCAGACCCAUUGACUAAGCCUCUUCCACGAGCAAAACAUGAUCAGCACCAAGGCUCCAUGGGUGUUAGAAUCAUUACUGUGUAAUCUAGAUUAUUGACUCUAGUGCAAAUGGGAGACUGAAGGAAAUAGGCCCUAGAGGCAAUAAUAAAGUUAUUAUUUAUUUCCUUAUAUCAUGAUAAAUGUUUAUUAUUCAUGCUAGAAUUGUAUUAACCGGAAACAUAAUACAUGUGUGAAUACAUAGACAAACAAAGUGUCACUAGUAUGCCUCUACUUGACUAGCUCGUUAAUCAAAGAUGGUUAUGUUUCCUAACCAUAGACAAAAGAGUUGUUAUUUGAUUAACAGGAUCACAUCAUUAGUUGAAUGAUCUGAUUGACAUGACCCAUUCCAUUAGCUUAGCACCUGAUCGUUUAGUAUGUUGCUAUUGCUUUCUUCAUGACUUAUACAUGUUCCUAUGACUAUGAGAUUAUGUAACUCCCGUGUGCCGGAGGAACACUUUGUGUGCUACCAAAUGUCACAACGUAACUGGGUGAUUAUAAAGGUGCUCUACAGGUGUCUCCAAAGGUACAUGUUGGGUUGACGUAUUUCGAGAUUAGGAUUUGUCACUCCGAUUGUCGGAGAGGUAUCUCUGGGCCCUCUCGGUAAUGCACAUCACAUAAGCCUUGCAAGCAUUACAACUAAUAAGUUAGUUGUGAGAUGAUGUAUUACGGAAUGAGUAAAGAGACUUGCCGGUAACGAGAUUGAACUAGGUAUUGGAUACCGACGAUCGAAUCUCGGGCAAGUAACAUACCGAUGACAAAGGGAACAACGUAUGUUGUUAUGCGGUCUGACCGAUAAAGAUCUUCGUAGAAUAUGUAGGAGCCAAUAUGGGCAUCCAGGUCCCGCUAUUGGUUAUUAACCGGAGAUUUGUCUCAGUCAUGUCUACAUUUUUCUCGAACCGUAGGGUCCGCACGCUUAACGUUACGAUGACAUUUAUUAUUAGUUUAUGCAUUUUGAUGUACCGAAAUUAGUUCGGAGUCCCGAAUGUGAUCACGGACAUGACGAGGAGUCUCGAAAUGGUCGAGACAUAAAGAUUGAUAUAUUGGACAACUAUAUUCGGACACCGGAAGGGUUCCGGGGAAGUUUCGGAUAAAACCGGAGCACCGGAGGGUUACCGGAACCCCCCGGGGGGUUAAUGGGCCUUAUGGCCCUAAUGUGGAGAAGAGGAAGGGGCUGCCUGGGCAGGCCGCGCGCCCGCUCUCCCCCUAGUCCGAAUUGGACAAGGAGGGAGGGGCGGCGCCCCCCCCCCUUUCCUUCUCUCCGUCCACCUCCACCCCUCCUACGCGCCUCCUCUAGGCCGGCCGCACCCCCCCUUGGAUCCUUUAUAUACGAAGGCAGGGGGGCACCCUAGAACACGCAAGUUGAUCCUCGUGAUCGUUCCUUAGCCGUGUGCGGUGCCCUCUUCCACCAUAUUCCACCUCGGUCAUAUCGUUGCAGUGCUUAGGCGAAGCCCUGCGCCGAUAGAGCAUCUUCAUCGUCACCACGCCGUCGUGCUGACGGAACUCAUCCCCGAAGCUUUGCUGGAUCGGAGCACGGGGAGCGUCAUCGAGUUGUACGUGUGCUAAGAACUCGGAGGUGCCGGAGUAACGGUGCUUGGAUCGGUCGGAUCGGGAAGACGUACGACUACUUCCUCUACGUUGUGUUAACGCUUCCGUUGUCGAUCUACAAGGGUACGUAGAUCACACUCUCCCCCCUCGUUGCUAUGCAUCACCAUGAUCUUGCGUGUGCGUAGGAAUUUUUUUGAAAUUACUACGAAACCCAUCAGGCUGAAAGCAUGGAUUCCUCUCUUGUUUCACUCUCUCCAGUCUGGCUUCUUGCGAGGCAGAUCGAUUAUAGAAAACUUUACCCUGGCUGCCGAAAUGAUCCAAUACACACACAAACGGAAAAUGCCAGUCAUUGCUUUGAAGUUGGAUUUUCACAAAGCUUUUGACAGCGUCAGUUGGUCCUGUUUGCACAAAGUACUUGAAGCCAGAGGGUUUUCUCAGCUGUGGAUUAGUUGGAUUCAAAUGCUUUUGUCAACCGGCAGCUCUAAAGUCCUUAUUAAUGGCCAGCUGGGUGCCCCCAUCCGGGCUAAGCGUGGUUUUCGGCAAGGCGAUUCCUUAUCCCCUUAUCUUUUCAUUAUCGUUGCGGACGUGCUAUAGAGAACGUGCUGCAAAUUGUUCCAAGAUGGUUCCUUGCUGCACCCACUUGGUUCAGACAGUUUCUUCCCGGUUCUGCAAUACGCGGAUGACAUGCUGAUUCUUUUCCAAGGCACUACGCAGCAGGCGGCAGUUGUUAAGUCAGCGCUCACAACUUUCUCUGCUUUCUCUGGGCUCACCAUAAAUUUCCACAAGAGCACUCUCGUACCUGUUGCCGUGGAGACCAUCACUGCUUUGGCCAUCGCGCAGAUCCUAGGCUGCCCCGUUUCAUCCUUUCCAUGCAACUACCUGGGCCUGCCUCUCUCUCUGCACAAGAUUACGCAUGGUACGUUACUGCCUGUUAUACACAAGGCCGACCGUCGUCUUUCGGGCUGGUUAGCUACUUUCCUAUCCUUAGGGGGUAGAUUGACCCUUAUCAACUCAGUGAUCGCUGGUAUCCCAAGUUAUUUCAUGUCAUGCUUUCCUUGGCCCAAGGAAUCUCUUGGAAAAUUGGAAAGUCUCUCACGUGCUUUUUUCUGGCAAGGCAAGAAUAAGGUCAAGGGGGGUCAAUGCUUAGUAGCUUGGGAUACAGUCUCGUUACCUCGUAUCAAUGGCGGUUUGGGUAUCCGUCAGCUGCAGGCUCACAACCAAGCUAUGAUGUGCAAGUUUGUCUCCAAAGUUAUACAAGGUUCGUACAUACCAUGUUAUAACUGGUUCGCCACACAUUAUUGCCAGGCUAUCCUUCCACAAAGUGCUAGUAGCAGAGACACUGCCAUCUGGAAAGGGUUCAAAGAUCUUGUUCCUAUGGUCAUCAACUCCUCUAAAUGUGUUAUGGGGUCUGGUCUUUUGAUUUCAUUCCGGAAGGACCAGUGGCUUGAAGCGGGCCGUUUAUACCAGUUGUUCCCCAUGCUGUAUUCCUUCGCGAUCCAACCAGAUUUCUCCGUGCACUCACAACACCCCAACGGUUCAUGGGCUGUUCAGCUACACCCUAAUCUCUCUCAAACGGCCUCAGCCGAGCUUGCUGUCCUGCAUGAUUUGUUGCUGGGCAUUGCUCCGAACUUACUGCAUGAGGACCAAUGGACUGCUUCCAUGAGCUCUGGACAACUUUGCACUGGUUAUUUCUACAGGCUACUCACUUUCCGGGGGGUUUUGUCAACUCUUGACACCUGGGUUUGGGAGACAAUGACCCCCCUCAAGCACAGAAUCUUCCUAUGGCUUGCUUUCCAUGGUCGUCUAAACACUAAGGAUAACAUGGUAAAGAAGGGUUGGCCCGAGGCUUCCCCGUUUGCGCAUUGUGACACUUGCCCCGCUGUUGAGACCAUCGAUCACUUAAUACUACGAUGUGCAUCCGCCAGUGUUCUUUGGGGCAAGUUGGAACUUGACGUUUUGGCUUGCUCAACUACUAACGUUCUAUCUUUUAUGGAGCAAGCGCAACACCAGCUCAGUUUUAAGCAAAAAUGGAAUGUUGCUUACGCAGCUUGUGCUGUCACCUUUUGGCAUGCUAUGAAUGACAGAGUCUUCAACUCAAAAGGCUGGUCUGUAACAUACACCUGUUUAUAUGCAGCAGGCAUGCUCCGUCUUUGGAGUCUCAGAACUCAAAGCCAGCGUACCAGGGAGGUUCUCCAGGUUUGGAGACACAAGCUGCUGCAUAAUUCGUAGACGCCUGAUGUAAUCUUCCCCUCCUCUCUUCCUCCCUCCCUUCUUUCCCUUUUUUUGAUGCUUGUGGUUUGCACCUUGGUGCACCAAAAAAGCUGCACUUGUACUUGUACCUGCUACUUCAUCAGGCUCCGGCCUGUUUUGAAAUAUAAGGUCGGCAGCCUGCCACCUUCUUUGUUUUAAAAAAAAGAACAGCCAGCGAGCGAAUCAUCAAUCCUGAAGCAAGCCAGAAGAAGCAUGGGCCUCGGAUCACGGGGAGCGCCGCAACCUUUCCGUCGCUCGAAACUGCGUGCUCUGCAGUAACUCCAGGGAAAUGGCUGGCCAUCUUGCAGUUGGCUACCAUUUCUCUCGUGAAGUUUGGUGGCCACGCUGAGGCGUUGCGGUCUUGCUCACCACACAGACACCGACCAUUUACACGUUGUGUGCCUGGUGGCCUCACACUCGGAAUGUACUCUCCAAACCGGCGUGCAAAAGAUUCGACAUCCUGGCACUGCUCACCCUCUGGAAACUAUGGACUUUCAAUGGCGCCCCGAGCACCACUAGGCAGGUCUACGCCGUCAUCGCAAUGGAGGGCGACUUAUGGAAGAAGGCAGCACCGCUGCUGGGUUGCAAGCUAUUUGGAAACAGUGGCGUGUGUGUAGAUUGGUAGGCAUAGUUUAAAUUCGAAAGAUGCGGGACCAAACUCUUCUAUCUGGUGUAACUCACGGUGCCAACUCUCGUCCAAUUAACAAGAUACUAUAUUGAAUCCUUCAAAGAAAACACAAGAUAUAUUGAAACCUACCGACUGCACGUGAAGCUAGUAAAUACAUUAAUUGGAGCUAGCUUUUGGACCAUACUCAUGUGUGGUGUGCGGCUAUAUAUUGCACACACAUAUGUGAAAUUCAUAAUUUAGUUGUGCUAGCAACAAAAGUAGAAGGGAUAUAUCAGGGUCAAUAUACAAUAGUUCAAUCUACUGGGUGUGCAACCACUACGGUAUUAGAAAUUGGUCAUUUAGCUAUACCCGCAGUGACCAUACACAUUGGAAAAGGAGACAUCUGGAAAUGAGGGGAAACAAUAUGCUUAGAACUAGAUCGAAGAUAUCUAUGGCGUCGAGCACCCUACAUGGUAGGACACCAUAUAGGACACCAUGUAGUCUGUUGCCUCAAGCUUUCUUUUGUUUUGAAAGAUCCAUCUGGUGCCUGGCUUUAUAUUGAUCAAAGCAGGGAGCAUAUGGGAAGAGUACAAAGGUGUAUUGUGAUCCAAGGAUCAAGGAGAAAAUAAAAAAAGAGGCGCCACUAGGCAACCCUUCCGGCUCCUAACAAGCUUGCCAUGAUACUACUAAGUCUUGGCUAAAUUCUCGCACUUUCAUCCCCAAAAGGGGGCUCAAUGAAUUUUACACUCGCCUGGCACCAGAGUUCAAAAUUGCGUCUGACAACUAUAAUGCCGCUCACCGAAGCAAUCUUGGCUCGGAAAGUGCACUCAUUUCUUUCUUGUCAGAUCCUCCAAAGGAUUAGCAGCGCUAGGUCUUCGGUGGCUUUUUGAACUUUGAUUGGGCCGCGUUGAUCAAACACACUCAAAAUCAUAGUCUUUACUAUCAAACACAUGCGAACUGGCCGGGAUUUAUGAAAAAACCCUCUCGACUACCGUUGCUUAUGAAGCUGCUUUUUCCUCAACGUCAGACGAUCUGUUUUCAUUAUUUGAAAAUAAUAAUAAUUUGCGCCUAGCUGGUGUUGAAUGUUUCUUUUGCUGGCACGCAAGCAGAGGAUAUUCACCAACCGCCUCCACCGAAGCUUGUCUGUGUUGUAAAGAAGCCGAAUCAAAAGCUCAUCUUCUCAUACAUUGCUCAGUUCCUAGGGUGAUGUGGACGAUUAUUGACUCUCUCAACAUUACUCCGGACGACUACACCUCCUUAACUCCUUUCAUGUUGAGUCAUCUCCGAGCCGGCAAAUAAAGUAAGGAACGCAGUAAUUAUGGCUCGCUUGUUGAAUAUCUAGAAGUGCCGGAGCGCACAAGUUUUCAGGAACUAGAAUGAAGACCUUCAAGUUGUCAUCUCUAGGUCUGCAAAUGAUAUUUUUCGUUGGUCAAACAGAUGUGAAAAUGAAUCCAAUCCAAAAGGCGAAUACUCUGUGACAAUUGACAAAGACUUAAUGUGUGUGUCUUUGUUUCUGGAGUAGUUUGGGUAGCUUUGUUCUUAUCUCCCCGCUUCUUUGUAUAUGGCAGUGACUACAAAUUUAUAAAAGAAAAGGUUCAGGAUGGAUUUUAGCCCGCCGUAGUUACCCCCCACCCCUCCCCAUUACUGCUUAGUGGUACUGCCUGGCUUAAAAGGACAGAGUUCUUUGAUGCUCAACCACAUGUACCACUCCUACUAAUCCGAGCAGGGGACCACUAUUUAGUGGUGGUUUAUUCUAAUCCAGCAAACAUGGCUUCUAGUCAACCUUCAAGUUCAUCGAUUGAACACCUUCUCUCCUAUUGGCCGGCUAGCGGGCUGGGUGAACGAUCUCUUUGUUUGCUCCAGUCCAGAGUGGUGGUUGGUUUUGGCAAGUUAUGGCCUGUGUUGCUGAUGGUGUGAUCCUCUAAAAAGUAGAAGAAAAAACUCCAUUAUAUUCUUUUUGCUAAUAAUGUAAGUUUUGAAUGGACCAACCGGUCCCAUGAUUUUUUUUACAUCUCACGUUAUGUGGAUCAAGCGGAUAUGUCGGUGGUACGUUCUUGUCAUGAUCGUCGGUAAUAUACUUGCCUGGAUCGUAACCCUCUACUUUCAGUAUUUGUGCCCGUCCGAAUUAUGUUGCACCUUAAAAAUGGUCUAUUAAGCUAGGAAAUACUUGGUAAAAAGAUGUAAAAUCAGUAAAAAAAUAAAAUAAAAAUUUCCAAAAAUGAACCAUGAGAUUUAAAAAUUAUUAUAUGUAAGAACUAGCAUGGUAGUCCAAGCAAUUGUGCAAUGAACAUCUUGAUUUUCCCUCCCUAUAAAUACACCUUUAGGGUACUUGAAAACAAUAAUUUUCAGUUAAGAACAUUGAAAUUUUACACGCCACUGAGCAACAAGGCCUUUAGCUAAUAUUGUCGGGCAGAUUCAAAUUCAAAAGAUGAGGGACCAAACUUUUCUAGUUUAAGUCACCGUACCAACUCUAAUAUAAUUAACAAGAUAAGUUGAACGCUGCCAACUGCGCGCCAAGCUAGUAAAGACAUUAAUUGGAGCUACCUCUUGAACAGUACUCAAACGGUGUGCAGCUGUAUAUAUAUAUACACUCUAUGCAUAUAUGAAAUUCACAAUUUAGCUGCACUACCAACCUAAACAGAAAGGAUCUGUUCAACUUACUAGGUGUACAACCACUGCUGUAUGAGAUCGACCGUCUAACUGUACGUGCAUAAUUCAUAUAUGUAGGAAAUGGAGGCACCGGGAAACGAGGGGAAACCAUAUGCUGUUGUGCCACCUCUCAUCGCGUGUCACCGUUUUGUGAUUCACACCCAGGAUCGUAUGCACCACACAUCGUUCACUCCGAAAACUGCACGUGCUAGGCUAGCUUCUUCAUACAUUCGUCUCUUCACUACAUUGAAUAAUGAUAAAAUCUCUCCUCCGACCAUAAUAGGCAACCGCUCGUCCCUGCACACUUGAUCAGCAAGGAGGCCACGAAUACAAGGAAGCUUAGUAACUUUUAGGGCUAGUAAGCUUGCACGUGCAACAACAUGUAUAAUAUUUAGAUUUUAUUGAGUAAAAUUUGUUUUUGAAUCCUUAAAACCUAAUCCCCUAAUUCAGGACAAGAAACUCACUAAUUUCAAUUAUUAGCAUCCCCAAUCACAUUUUCCAAAUGGAUUGUCGGCUGUUUCUAUCAGCAAGACAUGGGGCACUCUUGGGCAGGUCUCUAAGCACGCUCGAGUCAUUCAUUAUGCAAAUUAGUGGUGAUGAUGAACAAAAUCUAAGGAUUGAGAGCGUAAUGAAGAGAAGAGAGUAGAGCAGAAACCAAUAGGCAAUGAAAGGGAGAAGGGUGACCAUCGACAUCCAGGAGGGAGUGCCGGUGUCAAAACCGGCGGAUCUCGGGUAGGGGAUCCCGAACUGUGUGUCUAAGGUCGAUGGUAACAGGAGACAGGGGACACAAUGUUUUAGCCAGGUUCGGGCCCUCUCUAUGGAGGUAAUACCCUACGUCCUGCUUGAUUGAUCUUGAUGAAUAUGAGUAUUACAAGAGUUGAUCUAUCACGAGAUCGUAAUGGCUAAACCCUAGAGGCCUAGGUUGUAUGGUUAUGAUAAUGUAUAUCUCCCUCCGGACUAAGUCCUCCGGUUUAUAUAGACACCGGGAGGAUCUAGGGUUACACAAGGUCGGUUACAAAGAAAGGAAUCUAUAUAUUUGGUAGCCAAGUUUGCCUUCCACGCCAAGGAGAGUCCCAUCUGGACACGGGUGCCGUCUUCGGUCUUCGUAUAUUCACAGCCCAUCAGUCCGGCCCAUGGCUAACAGGCCGGACGCCCGAUGACCCCUUAGUCCAGGACUCCCUCAGUACCCCCUGAACCUGGCUUCAAUGACAACGUAUCCGGCGUGUAGAUCUGUCUUCGGCAUUGCAAGGCGGGUUCCUUCCUCCAAACUCCAAGAUAGUCUUCGGACGUAUUUGAACGUGUCCGGACCUGUAACACAACACCACACACAACCGCGGAGAGAAUAUAAUAUUCCACGAGUCCAAUCUGAUGACAACUUUUAUAAUGUGAGGUCACGCUCGCCCAGUUUUUCGAGCCGUUUCCUGUCCCGCCGUUCCACGUUUUGAGGCGCGGUUGCUAUUGGCACGCUCUGUCGAAACAGAGAUUGUGUCCCCUUAUUGCGAGAUUCUCAUUAACAUGAGUGUGGGUAACCCAACUGUUCUGUUGGAAAGAUCCCUUAGGAAUAGGCAGGCUUUCAGGCUCAAGAGGAGGCGUUUAAUUCCUGGUGCCUUUAUAAAGGAACCAAGGGCCGUCCUUUUUGACACCAAACUUCUCCUCAGCCUCUCGAACCUCGAGUUCUAGCACCCAAGGUUUCGACUUCGUUGCUCCGAGCUUCCCCAUUAUGUCCGGACCCAACCCUAAAGGCCGAUGGGUGGCUUCCUCUGUUACAGAGGAGGACAUUAUGAAGCUUCGAGCGGCCAGAUACCUGACAGCGGAAAUCCACCACAGGCGUCCUGCUCAAGGGAAGGUUAUCCCGACCCCCAGAUCUGGCGAGAGGGUCGUAUUCAUCUCACACUUCCUUCGAGGGCUAGGGCUCGCUCUUGAUCCCUUCAUCUGGGGGCUAAUGUUCUAUUAUGGACUAGAUUUUCACGAUCUAGCCCCAGAGUCUUUCUUCCAUGUCUCAGCGUUCAUCAUUACGUGCGAGGCCUUCCUCCGAAUCCCCCACACUUCGGCUUAUGGCUCAAGACCUUCAGUGUGAAACCAAAGAUAGUCGACGGGGAACAGGUGGAGUGCGGUGGUGCUGUAGUCAGCCAGCUCACCAACACUCCUUGGCCAAAAGACUCCUUUACUGAAACUUCCAAUCAAUGGCAGCGAGAGUGGUUUUACGUUAUGGAGCCCCGCUAAGGGAAUCUUGGAUUAGGGGGUCUCCGGACAGUGGGACUAUAUCCUUUGGCCGGACUGUUGGACUAUGAAGAUACAAGAUUGAAGACUUCGUCCCGUGUCCGGAUGGGACUCUACUUGGCAUGGAAGGCAAGCUAGGCAAUACGGAUAUGGAUAUCUCCUCCUUUGUAACCGACCUUAUGUAACCCUAGCCUCCCCCAGUGUCUAUAUAAACCGGAGGGUUUUAGUCCAUAGGACAACAUACAAUCAUACCAUAGGCUAGCUUCUAGGGUUUAGCCUCUCCGAUCUCGUGGUAGAUCAACUCUUGUACUACUCAUAUUAUCAAGAAUAAUCAAGAGGACGUAGGGUUUUACCUCCAUCAAGAGGGCCCGAACCUGGGUAAAACAUCGUGUCCCCUUCCUCCAGUUACCAUCCGCCUUAGACGCACAGUUCAGGACCCCUACCCGAGAUCCGCCGGUUUUGACACCGACAUUGGUGCUUUAAUUGAGAGUUCCUCUGUGUCGUCACCGUUAGGCUUGAUGGCUCCUUCGAUCAUCAAUAGCGAUGCAGUCCAGGGUGAUACUUUUCUCCCCGGAUAUAUCUUUGUAUUUGGCGGCUUCGCACUGCGAGCCAACUCGCUUGGCCAUCUGGAGCAGAUCGAGAGUUACGCCCCUGGCCACCAGGUCAGGUUUGGAAGCUUAAACUACAUGGCCGACAUCCGCGGAGACUUGAUCUUCGACGGAUUCGAGCCCCUGCUGAGUGCGCCGCACGGUCACGAUGAGCAUGAUUUAGCUCUACCAUCGGACAGUGUUCAGGAGACCGCACCAGCAACCGCUCUGACCCUCAAUUCGGAGCCAAUUGUGCCAUCCAUGGACGGGUGGAUAGACCCCGCCAAGGAGGCCGCACUCUCAUCGGCGAUCGAGCCGAAUAUCGACCUUACCCUUCACACAAGAGCCGUGACAUCGAACUGCCGAAUUCUUCCCCGGCCACGGACUCUGAACCGCCUGCGCCCGUGCCUAUCAGAUCCAACUGGGCACCGAUCAUGGAGUUCACCUCCGCGGAUAUCUUUCAGCACUCGCCCUUCGGCGACAUACUGAGCUCAUUAAGGUCUCUCUCCCUGCCAGGAGAGUCCUGGCCGAACUAUGUUCGGCAGGAUUGGGACGCGGAUGACGAAGAAAUUCGCCGCCCACCCACCACGCCCACUUAGUAGCCACUGUCGACGAUUUGACCAACAUGCUCGACUUCGACUCCAAAGACAUCGAUAGUAUGGACGACGAUACAGGAGACGAACAGGAACCACUGCCCACAGGGCACUGGACGCCCACUUCAUCAUAUGAUGUAUACAUGGUGGACACACCCAAAGAAAACGACGACGAGGAACGGAAGGACGCAGCGAAGGGUUGUUCCCUCGGGAAGCAGUCAAAGCAGCGACGUAAGCGCCGCUCCAAAUCCCGCCUCGGCAGAAACAGCGAUCAUAUAGACCCAGCGUUAGAGCAGGGUGAACCAUCGCCCGACCAUGGCAACACAGAGAAUCAAACCGAACAACCCGACUCCGUCAAAGAUAACAGUCCGGACGACAUCACACCGGACAGGCGCCCGGAGCAACAGAAUGUCCAUCAAAGGCUUGUUGACACUGCGAGGAGUCUGAAAAAGCAGAAGCAAAGGCUCAGGGUUGCACAAGAGACACUCAGAAUCAGAUGGAGUGAAGUACUCAACACUGCAGCGAAGUACGGCGGUAAUCGCCACACCAAGAGCUACCCGAAGCGAAAGUUGCUACCUGAAUUCGAUGAGGAGGCCUAAGAUCCCCCACAAUUGAAAAACAAAACGGCCAUCCGGUCGGAUACACAACCCCAUGGCCAACAUAGAGCGGCAAACGACGCCGCACAUAAGCCAGUACGCGAUCCACACGAGGGCUCGCGUCAAAAGGACGGCGCAACCAAAUCCAUAUACGGGCCACGCAAGCGCGCUUCAGUAUGCAAUGCAACACAACAAACAUUCAAACAUCACGGUACACCCAAAUACAGGGGUGCCGCACACCCCCUAUGUUUCACCGAUGAGGUGCUGGACCAUGAAUUUCUAGAGGGAUUCAAACCCGUAAACAUAGAGGCGUACGACGGAACGACAGACCCUGGGGUCUGGAUUGAGGACUACAUCCUCCAUAUCCACAUGGCUCGAGGAGACGAUCUCCACGCCAUCGAGUACUUACCCCUCAAGCUCAAAGGGCCAGUUCGGCACUGGCUUAAAAGCCUCCCCGAAAACUCCAUUGGAAGCUGGGAAGAGCUCGAAGAUGCUUUUCGGGAAAAUUUUCAAGGGACCUAUGUCCGACCACCGGAUGCAGACGAUUUAAGUCAUAUAACUGAACAACCCGGAGAGUCAGCCCGAAAGCUUUGGAACAUGUUUCUCACUAAAAAGAACCAAAUAGUCGAUUGUCCGGACGGCGAAGCCUUAGUAGCUUUCAAGCACAGCGCUCGAGACGAAUGGCUCGCCAGGCACCUCGGCCAAGAAAAGCCGAGAACAAUGGCAGCAUUAACAAGCCUCAUGACCCGCUUUUGCACGGGCGAGGACAGCUGGUUAGCCCGGUGCAGCACCAGUGACCCAAGUACAUCCGAAGUCAGGGACGAAAACGAGAAACCACGACACAGCAAAAACAAGCGCCGGAAUAAAGAAGACAGCCCGAAGAGCACGGCUGUAAACGUCGGAUUCAGAAGCUCUCGGCCAAGUCAGCAAAAGCUGCCCUCCAAAGGCAACAGAGACGAACUAUCCAGCCUAAACAAGAUUCUGGACAAAAUAUGUCAGGUCCACACACUACAAAAAAUACACUUCCGUGAUGAUACGUGUUUGUCACAGUAGGUCGCUUUUUUGUCAUGCAUGUACAUCCAUGACAAAUUUAUGACAGAAUCAAGAUAGUCAUACCUGUGCUGUCGUAGAAGUGUUUCAUGACAUUACCAAAAUUAUCAUCACAGAAGUGUCCACUUCCACGACGAUAAAUCGCGCAGCACAGAAGUGCUUUCGUCAAGGGUGACCGACACGUGGCAUCCACCGUAACAGAACGCCGUUAAGCUAUCGGGUUGGGUUUUGGAUCCGAUAACCCGUUAACAGCACCGACCAAUGGGAAAUUUCCAUGUGUAAAAUUCUUAUUGGCCGGACGAAACACGUGUCAGCUCGUCAGUGGGUCAGAUAGGCGCCUAUGAUAUGUUGACACAUGGCACGGCCCAUCAAGUUUAAAUGGGCCGUCCCAACUAAAGGCCCACAAGAUUUUGUGGACCAUAAUGGGUUGGCCCAGCUAAAGGCCCACGAGAUUUUGCGGACCGUAUUGGGCUGGCCCAGCUAAAGGCCCACAAGAUUUUGCGGGCCAUAAUGGGCAGGCCCAGGUAAAGGCCCACAAGAUUUUUGUGUGCCAUAAUGGGCCAGCCCAGGUAAAGCCCACAAGAUUCUUGCGGGUCAUAAUGGGCCGGCCCAGCUAAAGGCCCACGAGAUUUCACCGACAUUAAUGGGUCGGCCCAGCUGUAGGCCCACAAGAUUUUGAGGACCCUAGUAGGCCGGCCCAUUAACUGGCUGCCAUGUUUUGGGCCAAAUGCUGGCCCAUAUUUGAUCCGGUCCAUUAAUGGCCUGCCAUGCUCCGGGCCUAAUAGUGGCCCAUAUGAGAUCCGGCCCGUUAAAAGCCUACCACGUUCUGGGCCAAAUUACGGCCCAGAUCAGGUCCGGCCCUUUAAGAGGCAUUGGGCUCAAUUAUGGCCCAUAUCAGAUUCGGCCCGUCAACUGGAAACUAUGUUUUUGGGCCCACUUGCUAAAGGCCCACUUAGUAAUUCGGCCUGAUAUUAGUUUUGGCCUGUUAAGGGCCCGUUUAACAUUUCGGCCCUAUAUUAAUUUUGGCCUGUUAAAAGCCAGUCAUAUAGUUGGACCUAACUACGACCCUGUUUGCAUCCGGCCUGCUCGCAACCGAUAUCUGAUUGGGCCAAACAAGGACCAAGAUAAUUUUGGCCUGUUAAAAGCCCGUGAUUUGAUUCGCACAAUCAUGGGACGCGGUUCAUUUCAUGCUGCUGCAUAACUAGUAUGAAUUAAGACCAAAGCUACUCUAUACAAUAAAGAAAUUACGGCAUAGUAACUUAGAAUAAACCUACACUAUACAAUAAAGGGUUUAAGGUAUAUUACAUCCACUAGGCAUCGAAGUUCACCACCAGUGAUCAUAAAGCGCAAUGUAGAAGCAGAUUACAAAAACAGGGCACCAUUGCAGCGUAACAAAAUAAUACUGAACCGAGACCACUUCCAAGAUAGUUCAAGAAAGGUUAGCCUUGCGGGGGAACUACUGCGCAAGCUGCUGAGCAAGGCUAUGAGACCGGCCUAGCAUGUCGGUCAUAGUUUCCAGGUGUAGCUGUUUAGCGAUGAGGUUCUCAUUGGUGUUCUCCACAAUCUUUCUUAGAGAUAGGACUUCAAGUCGAAGUUGAGUUGCAGAAUGCCUUUCUGCUAGAACUUGGGACUGAAGAAGUCGAACUGAUUCAGACAACGAAUUCUGUGAGCUUGUCUGACUGUUAGUGUCAAGUAACUUGAACACUGCAUCAAGACAAGACUUUGGGGUUGUCUCGCUAUCUUCAAGAUGUUUUGCCUUCUUUGCUGCAAUAUAUGUUGGGUUUGUCUCACAGCCUUCAGCAGACUUGUGCAUGCCAUCAGGCAUAUCACCCUGAAACAAAGCAGAGAGAUGACAGGUUUUCCACGUGUAUAAUCAAAGAUGAUAACUGUUCUGUCAAUUCUAUCCAAUUUCAAAUUAGAAAAUAAAGAGUAUGUUCAAAAUAUCAAUAGCAUAAUUUGGCAUUGUUCAUAAUGCGGGGAGCUUCACCACACUACUGGAUUACCAUGUCAACAUAACAAGAAUAGAUGAAGGGCAAAGAAAAUCAUUGUAUCUAUUUUGGAUAAUGUGCAUGGCAUGUUGUUCAUAUCAUCAGCCACAUCAAUAAGAUAAAACAAGAGAUGACAAGGUGCAAACGUGGGCUGCUUCACCACACACUGGAUUAUAGAUCCACAAAAACAAGCAUACAUAUAGGGAGUAUUAAGUAAUGUGCAUGGUAUGAAUAAGGAAUUUGGUUUUACAAGUAAAACUUAGAACUUACGGUUCUUACGAACAUGCAUUUUGGCAGAAACAGUAAACUAAACAGCAGUAAACGAUAGGGAGUAUGAGCAAAUUAAACAACAGUUGAGGAUAAAGGCUUUAGAAGGACUGACUUACAUUAAUAGUUAACACCGGCUUUAUAAUGCCCUUCUCCAUGUCAAGGGAAGGAUAACUCAAGAAUUUCAGCACAGAAUCUUCUUCAUAAGCAUUGCCUGUACUCUACAUUUUGUAGAGAGUAAUUAUAGAUAUGAUAAUACUGGAAGGGAUAGAGGAUAAUGAAGAUAAGAUGUAGAUUGAUGCUACCUAAUCAACUACCAAUCCCUGGAAGUACAAGCGUUACAGGACAAAAUGUACUGACAAGAGCAAUGGGCUACACUUCUGCACUGGCAUUGUCUAUGUAUUCUACUUAUUGGUAAGAUUGAAUAUAGAUCUGAUCUUUUUUAGUAAAUGGUGGGCGAGGGAGAUAAGAUGCAGAAUGCUACAAAAUGAACCAAUCCCUCUUCCCAUAAUACAAGAGUGUUUUGAACACUGGUGUACUGUACAAAACAUUCUUAUAUUAUGGGACGGAGGGAGUAGCUGUUAAUGUAAGUACAGUGAUAGACCACGUUCAGUCCUUACAAGAGGACUGCAGAGCUAAACCUCUUCAAAAGCAUUGGGUUGAUUCUAAAUUUAUGUAAGAGUCCAUACGGAUCUUAUAUUGUCCACCAAAUGGACGAUUACGAGGCUAACAUGUGCAGUGAUGCUACAUAAUCAAACAGCUAUGAAAGUAAAUAUGGUCAUACAGGGCAAGAGGUACUCACAAGAGCAAUGCAGUGUGCAGUAUAGUUGCGAGAUUCUAUGGUCCCUUGAGAAUGAAUGUUCUUCUGCUAACAGUUUUCGUACAAGUGAGACAUUAAGGCAAAUGCAGAAAUGUAGUUCAAAUUGUGAUGUGAUAUCAUAGACAGUACCUUACGCUGCAGCCGAGACCAAUGUGUAACAAGAUUAUUCCAGUCACCGUCGGAUGAAUGUAGCACCGGAGACUUCACAAAAAUUUCGUUCAGAGGCUUGCCAUCGAAGUGCGCUUGCCUCAGGUAGGAACGAUACUUCAUCAAUGAGUGCUUGAAAAGGGCAACCAACCCUUGCUCAUCAUCACAAUCCAGUUUGCGCCUCGCCUAUUUAAAAGAAUGAAAUCUUGUGUUUUCUGUCAGCAGAAACAUAUGCAGUAAUGACCAUGAAUAACAUUAGUACAUUACUUACGCGUAAGUUGCGGAGGAAGACUGGAAAUUGUUCUGUGUCUGCGGUAUAAUCUUUCCAUGAAGGAAAGAUGCGCACAAAGUUCCUGACAACAACAUAAGCUUCAUCUUCUAAACUGGGAAGAAAUGGAACAGGGGUCCUAUUUGCUGCAAUUGGGGCUCUCUCUGGUUCGAAAAGGGAUUUGGCAACUAGAUUUGGUGUACUCUUUGCUGGAAUGGGGGUUUUUUGCAUCGUACAGCUGGUGCUAUGUCAACUGGCAUAAUCAUACUGUUUGCUGCAGUUGAGGUCUGCUGAGUUGGGGCAUCAGAAAUGACCAGUGUAGUAGGGCUAGAGUCUGCUAGAGUUGGGGUAUUUUGUGGGUCAGGUGAUAUUGCAACUACACCUAAUGGGCUAUUUGAUUUAUCAGGUGCCACUACCUUUUCCAAAUACUUUGCUUGUGCUCCUCCACGAUCAGCAAUCGCCCUCUUCCUUUUGAAUGUCUGAUACACAAGAACAACAUUUGAAUGGAUAAAUAUGGUAUGAUGACAGAUGGAAUAUGUAUUGAAAAUGGAUAGGCAGGGCGUAUUCACAUACACGAUGCAUAAACUAAGCUAAUGGCAUUUCAACAAAGUAGAAGCAAUGCAAAGCAUCAGUUGCAAGAUAUAUGCGAGCAAUGUAACCUUGGAAAGUUAGAGCAAGUACCUUGAUGGGUGAAUAAGAUAGGGCAUCUUCCUCUGAAUCCUCCACUAGGGAGCUGCAUUGACUUAGGUCUCCCUCUAGCUCAGAAUCAUUGUUAGGAUCAUAUUCUGAGCAUGAAUCUGUAGGUGGAGGGUGUUUGCAUUGCAUUGCAUCCAGACUUGAUUUCAGUCCCUUAAUGCCAAGUUUGACAUCCAUGGCAUUGUUCUGCUUUAUUCUUUUCAUGCGCGCAAGCUCAUAAUCAUUAUGAUGCUGUUCAGAAUCUGAGAUUCAUGAAAACAUAAAAAGUAGUCAGAUUAUCUAUGGAAUGCAUUGCGGUUUCAACUCGGAGAGUGUCUCCCUAUAAACCCCUGCAUAUGCAAAGUUCACCUCCCCAACCGUGCUGACCAGACCACACACAUAGAUUCACACCCGAGCGGCGAACAUGCAUUUUCAAAACUAAUUUAGGAACAUUUAGCUGACCAAUUAAACAACUCUGUUUUAAUAAUAUCAGAUUCGUAUUUGAACAACUAAGAUUGAUUAGCUUGAUGGGUGCAGUAGUGUUAUUAUGAAACGAAGCACGUAUUCUGAUCGUAUAGUGAUCAUAAAAGGGGGAAACUCUGAGCAUAUAUUUUUUAGCAAAAGAGGGUUUCCCCUCUGAUUUCUAUUAAAGAAACCACCACAGAACCAACAUAAUCAAUUAAACCCUAAGCAUGAUCAAUUAAACUGUAUUAUGGCUGUGCCAUGGCAAAUUUGAAGCUGCAAACCGGAGAAAUGAUAUUUAGCAUCCACUGUUUGCUUCGAACUAAGAAAUAAAUUCUAAGAGCUGAAAAGAAAGUAGAGUAACCAAGUUAAGAUCUAUUUUCUCGUUGAGAUCAAAAAGUUGACGAGAUAUGAAGUACCACCUCUCUUGCGGCGCCAUGUAGGAUCGGGGGUGCGAUGGCUGUCGGUGGCGUUGAAGCAGAUCUGCAACGGUAGACGGGUGCAUCGGAGGAUAAGUCCUGUUGCGGUGGAAGAGAAGGUCGUGUGAGCGGCCCCGGCAAAGAGGACGACGGCGCCAAUGAAGCGAGAGGACGCCAUGCAAGGCUAUUGGUCCGUCGCCGUGGAUGAGAAACGUCCAUCUCUAGCAGUGGACGACGCGGUCUUGGUAGGCGCUCCGGCAUGGUGGAGGACGGUGGCGAUGGAUGUGGUGGAGGACGGCGGCGAUGGAUGGGGUGGUGGACGGUGGCUGGUGUGGGAAUGGGGUGUUCUAGCGUGGACGAUGUAUGAAUGGGAAAAUGGAGGGAGAGGUAUGGGGAACCAUGUUUUUGGGACGCGCUUGUCUGAAAUAUGGGAAAGUUACGAAUUUAUCCCCUGUUUCAAAUUUGGACGUCUCAUCGAUUGGGGAUAGGAUGGUAAUCUCGCAUCUCCCAAAUAUUUGCCGGUAACUAUUUCGGGCGAGGAGAGGGUGUUUUGCCGCCCACGGUUGGCACCCACGGUGUAUGAACGGGGCUGGCAGGUAGGGCGGUUGUGUCACGUCUGAUGGAAGUUACACAUCUGCCCCUAUUUAAAAUAUUAGCCUACAUCUAUUUCGGACGAGGAGAGUUUUUUUUGCCGCCGACCGUGUAUGAAUGGGGAAUAGAGGGAGAAACAGAGGUCUUUCGGACGAGCUUGAAUCAAAUGAGUUUUGCCGCCCAUGUUUGACGCCCACCGUGUCGGAAUGGGAUCAGAGGCGGUCGUGUCACGUCUAAUUGAAGUUACUAACCUACCCCUAUUUAGAGCAGUGGAAAUCGGGCCGAUGGAUUGUCCGUGUAAUGGGUAGACAGUAAUUUCCAUCUCCCAAACACUUGGCUUCGGGCAGCCGAUGUGGGAGUGGACAUUUUGCUGUUUCUUUCGAAUUUUGGGACAAUAAGCAUCCACGUUUACCAUGACAACUAAAUUCGAAUCCAUUUUGUAUUCCUAUAUGAAUCUUUAUAAAUCAUUCUAUGUGUUUUUAUAUAUCUUCAAAAGGACGACAAAGAUGUAUCCCACUGUCAUAUAUGAAUAUGGUUUACAUAUGCCGAUACUCAAAUUCAGAAACUAGAAUCCAGUUUAAGGUGAAUUCGAAUAUUUGCAACACUUCAUGUCCAACUCAAAUGUCAUACGCAGCAUAAUGUGUAUGUUGGGGAACGUAGUAUUUCAAAAAUUUCCUACGCACACGCAAGAUCAUGUGAUGCAUAGCAACGAGAGGGGGGAGUGUGAUCUACAUACCUAGUAGAUCGACAACGGAAGCGUUUGGUUGAUGUAGUCGUACGUCUUCACGGCCCGACCGAUCAAGCACCGAAACUACGGCACCUCCGAGUUUUAGCACACGUUCAGCUCGAUGACGAUCCCCGGACUCCGAUCCAGCAAAGUGUCGGGGAAGAGUUCCGUCAGCACGACGGCGUGGUGACGAUCUUCAUGUACUACUGCAGCAGGGCUUCGCCUAGACUCCGCUACAAUAUUAUCGAGGACUAUGGUGGCUGGGGCACCGCACACGGCUAAGGAAAAGAUCACGUGGAUCAACUUGUGUGUCUCUGGGGUGCCCCUGCCUCUGUAUAUAAAGGACUAAAGGGGGGAAGGCUGGCCGGCCAAGGAGGGCGCGCCAGGAGAGUCCUACUCCCUCUGGGAGUAGGAUUCCCCCCAAUCCUAGUUGGAAUAGGAUUCGCGGAGGGGGGAAAGAGAGAGAGGGGACGGCCCCCUCUCCUUGUCCUAUUCGGACCAAGGGAGGGGAGGGGCGCGCGGCCCAUGAGGGGCUGCCUCUUCUCUUUUCCACUAAGGCCCAUCAUGGCCCAUAUAGCUCCCGGGGGGUUCCGGUAACCUCCCGGUACUCCGGUAAAAUCCCGAUUUCACCCGGAAUACUUCCGAUAUCCAAACAUAGGCUUCCAAUAUAUCAAUCUUUAUGUCUCGACCAUUUUGAGACUCCUCGUCAUGUCCGUGAUCACAUCCGGGACUCCGAACAACCUUUGGUACAUCAAAAUGCAUAAACUCAUAAUAUAACUGUCAUCGUAACCUUAAGCAUGCGGACCCUACGGGUUCGAGAACAAUGUAGACAUGACCGAGACACGUCUCCGGUCAAUAACCAAUAGCGGAACCUGGAUGCCCAUAUUGGCUCCUACAUAUUCUACGAAGAUCUUUAUCAGUCAGACCGCAUAACAACAUACGUCGUUCCCUUUGUCAUCGGUAUGUUACUUGCCCGAGAUUCGAUCGUCGGUAUUCUAAUACCUAGUUCAAUCUCGUUGCCGGCAAGUCUCUUUACUCGUUCUGUAAUACAUCAUCCCACAACUAACUCAUUUAGUUGCAAUGCUUGCAAGGCUUAGGUGAUGUGCAUUACCGAGAGGGCCCAGAGAUACCUCUCCGACAAUCGGAGUGACAAAACCUAAUCUCGAAAUACGCCAACCCAACAUGUACCUUUGGAGACACCUGUAGUACUCCUUUAUAAUCAUCCAGUUACGUUGUGACGUUUGGUAGUACCCAAAGUGUUCCUCCGGUAAAUGGGAGUUGCAUAAUCUCAUAGUUAUAGGAACAUGUAUAAGUCAUGAAGAAAGCAAUAGCAACAUACUAAACGAUCGGGUGCUAAGCUAAUGGAAUGGGUCAUGUCAAUCAGAUCAUUCUCUUAAUGAUGUGAUCCCGUAAAUCAAAUAACAACUCAUUGUUCAUGGUUAGGAAACAUAACCAUCUUUGAUUAAUGAGCUAGUCAAGUAGAGGUAUACUAGUGACACUUUGUUUGUCUAUGUAUUCACACAUGUAUUAUGUUUCCGGUUAAUACAAUUUUAGCAUGAAUAAUAAACAUUUAUCAUGAUAUAAGGAAAUAAAUAAUAACUUUAUUGUUGACUCUAGGGCAUAUUUCCUUCAGUCUCCCACUUGCACUAGAGUCAGUAAUCUAGAUUACACAGUAAUGAUUCUCACACCCAUGGAGCCUUGGUGCUGAUCAUGUUUUGCUCGUGGAAGAGGCUUAGUCAACGGGUCUGCAACAUUCAGAUCCGUAUGUAUCUUGCAAAUCUCUAUGUCUCCCACCUGGACUAGAUCCCGGAUGGAAUUGAAGCGUCUCUUGAUGUGUUUGGUUCUCUUGUGAAAUCUGGAUUCCUUUGCCAAGGCAAUUGCACCAGUAUUGUCACAAAAGAUUUUCAUUGGACCCGAUGCACUAGGUAUGACACCUAGAUUGGAUAUGAACUCCUUCAUCCAGACUCCUUCAUUUGCUGCUUCCGAAGCAGCUAUGUACUCCGCUUCACAUGUAGAUCCCGCUACAAUGCUUUGUUUAGAACUUCACCAACUUACAGCCCCACCGUUUAAUGUAAACACGUAUCCGGUUUGCGAUUUAGAAUCGUCCGGAUCAGUGUCAAAGCUUGCAUCAACGUAACCUUUUACGAUGAGCUCUUUGUCACCUCCAUAUACGAGAAGCAUAUCCUUAGUCCUUUUCAGGUAUUUCAGGAUGUUCUUGAUCGCUGUCCAGUGAUCCACUCCUGGAUUACUUUGGUACCUCCCUGCUAGACUUAUAGCAAGGCACACAUCAGUUCUGGUACACAGCAUUGCAUACAUGAUAGAUCCUAUGGCUGAUGCAUAGGGAACAUCUUUCAUAUUCUCUCUAUCUUCUGUAGUGGUCGGGCAUUGGGUCUUACUCAACUUCACACCUUGUAACACAGGCAAGAACCCUUUCUUUGCUUGAUCCAUUUUGAACUUCUUCAAAAUUUUGUCAAGGUAUGUGGUUUGUGAAAGUCCAAUUAAGCGUCUUGAUCUAUCUCUAUAGAUCUUAAUGUCUAAUAUGUAAGCAGCCUCACUGAGGUCUUUCAUUGAAAAACUCUUAUUCAAGUAUCUCUUUAUGCUAUCCAGAAAUUCUACAUCAUUUCCAAUUAGUAAUAUGUCAUCCACAUAUAAUAUCAGAAAUGCUACAGAGCUCCCACUCACUUUCUUGUAAAUACAGGCUUCUCCAAAAGUCUGUAUAAAACCAAAUGCUUUGAUCACACUAUCAAAACGUUUAUUCCAACUUCGAGAGGCUUGCACCAGUCCAUAAAUGGAUCGCUGGAGCUUGCACACUUUGUUAGCUCCCUUUGGAUCGACAAAACCUUCUGGUUGCAUCAUAUACAACUCUUCUUCCAGAAAUCCAUUCAGGAAUGCAGUUUUGACAUCCAUCUGCCAAAUUUCAUAAUCAUAAAAUGCGGCAAUUGCUAACAUGAUUCGGACAGACUUAAGCAUCGCUAUGGGUGAGAAGGUCUCAUCGUAGUCAAUCCCUUGAACUUGCCGAAAACCUUUUGCGACAAGUCGAGCUUUGUAGACAGUAAUAUUACCGUCAGCGUCAGUCUUCUUCUUGAAGAUCCAUUUAUUUUCAAUUGCUCGCCGAUCAUCAGGCAAGUCAACCAAAGUCCAUACUUUGUUCUCAUACAUGGAUCCCAUCUCAGAUUUCAUGGCUUCAAGCCACUUUGUGGAAUCUGGGCUCACCAUCGCUUCUUCAUAGUUCGUAGGUUCAUCAUGAUCUAGUAGCAUGACUUCCAGAACGGGAUUACCGUACCACUCUGGUGCGGAUCUUACCCUGGUUGAUCUACGAGGUUCAGUAGUAUCUUGUUCUGAAGUUUCAUGAUCAUCAUCAUUAGCUUCCUCACUAACUAGUGUAGGUGUCACAGAAACAGUUUUCGGUGAUGUACUACUUUCCAAUAAGGGAGCAGGUACAGUUACCUCGUCAAGUUCUACUUUCCUCCCACUCACUUCCUUCGAGAGAAAUUCCUUCUCCAGAAAGUUUCCAAACUUAGCAACAAAAGUCUUGCCUUCGGAUCUGUGAUAGAAGGUGUAUCCAAUAGUUUCCUUUGGAUAUCCUAUGAAGACACAUUUCUCCGAUUUGGGUUCGAGCUUAUCAGGUUGAAGCUUUUUCACAUAAGCAUCACAGCCCCAAACUUUUAGAAACGACAACUUUGGUUUCUUGCCAAACCACAGUUCAUAAGGCGUCCUCUCAACGGAUUUUGAUGGUGCCCUAUUUAACGUGAAUGCGGCCGUCUCUAGAGCGUACCCCCAAAACAAUAGUGGUAAAUCAGUAAGAGACAUCAUAGAUCGCAUCAUAUCUAGUAAAGUACGAUUACGACGUUCGGACACACCAUUACGCUGUGGUGUUCCGAGUGGCGUGAGUUGCGAAACUAUUCCACAAUUUUUCAAAUGUACACCAAACUCGUAACUCAAAUAUUCUCCUCCACGAUCAGAUCGUAGAAACUUUAAUUUCUUGUUAUGAUGAUUUUCAACUUCACUCUGAAAUUCCUUGAACUUUUCAAACGUUUCAGACUUAUGUUUCAUUAAGUAGAUAUACCCAUAUCUGCUCAAAUCAUCUGUGAAGGUGAGAAAAUAACGAUAUCCGCCACGAGCCUCAAUAUUCAUCGGACCACAUACAUCUGUAUGUAUGAUUUCCAACAAAUCUGUUGCUCUCUCCAUAGUACCGGAGAACGGCGUUUUGGUCAUCUUGCCCAUGAGGCACGGUUCGCAAGUACCAAGUGAUUCAUAAUCAAGUGGUUCCAAAAGUCCAUCAGUAUGGAGUUUCUUCAUGCGCUUUACACCGAUAUGACCUAAACGGCAGUGCCACAAAUAAGUUUCACUAUCAUUAUCAACUCUGCAUCUUUUGGCUUCAACAUUAUGAAUAUGUGUGUUACUACUUUCGAGAUUCAACAAGAAUAGACCACUCUUCAAUGGUGCAUGACCAUAAAAUAUAUUACUCAUAUAAAUAGAACAACCAUUAUUCUCUGAUUUAAAUGAAUAACUGUCUCGCAUCAAACAAGAUCCAGUAAUAAUGUUCAUGCUUAACGCUGGCACCAAAUAACAAUUAUUUAGGUCUAAUAUUAAUCCUGAAGGUAGAUGUAGAGGUAGUGUGCCGACUGCGAUCACAUCGACUUUGGAACCGUUUCCCACGCGCAUCAUCACCUCGUCCUUAACCAAUCUUCGCUUGAUCUGUAGUCCCUGUUUCGAGUUGCAAAUAUUAGCAACAGAACCAGUAUCAAAUACCCAGGUGCUACUGCGCGCAUUAGUAAGGUACACAUCAAUAACAUGUAUAUCACAUAUACCUUUGUUCACCUUGCCAUCCUUCUUAUCCGCCAAAUACUUGGGGCAGUUCCACUUCCAGUGACCAGUCUGCUUGCAAUAGAAGCACUUAGUUUCAGGCUUAGGUCCAGGUUUGGGUUUCUUCUCUUGAGUAGCAACUUGCUUGCCGUUCUUUUUGAAGUUCCCCUUCUUCUUUCCUUUGCCCUUUUUCUUGAAACUAGUGGUCUUGUUGACCAUCAACACUUGAUGCUCCUUCUUGAUUUCUACCUCCGCAGCUUUCAGCAUCGCGAAGAGCUCGGGAAUAGUCUUAUUCAUCCCUUUCAUAUUAUAGUUCCUCACGAAGCUCUUGUAGCUUGGUGGCAGUGAUUGGAGAAUUCUGUCAAUGACGCAAUCAUCUGGAAGAUUAACUCCCAAUUGAAUCAAGUGAUUAUUAUACCCAGACAUUUUGAGUAUAUGCUCACUAACAGAACUGUUCUCCUCCAUCUUGCAGCUAUAGAACUUAUUGGAGACUUCAUAUCUCUCAAUCCAGGCAUUUGCUUGAAAUAUUAACUUCAACUCCUGGAACAUCUCAUAUGCUCCAUGACGUUCAAAACAUCGUUGAAGUCCCGAUUCUAAGCCAUAAAGCAUGGCACACUGAACUAUCGAGUAGUCAACAGCUUUGCUCUGCCAGACGUUCAUAACAUCCGGCGUUUCUCCUGCAGCAGGCCUGUCACCCAGCGGUGCUUCCAGGACGUAAUUCUUCUGUGCAGCAAUGAGGAUAAUCCUCAAGUUACGGACCCAGUCCGUGUAAUUGCUACCAUCAUCUUUCAACUUUGCUUUCUCAAGGAACGCAUUAAAAUUCAACGGAACAACAGCACGAGCCAUCUAUCUACAAACAAGCAUAAACGAGCAAGAUACUUAUCAGGUACUAAGUUUCAUGAUAAAUUUAAGUUCAGUUAAUUUACUUAAAGAACUCCCACUUAGAUAGACAUCCCUCUAAUCCUCUAAGUGAUUACGUGAUCCAAAUCAACUAAACCAUGUCCGAUCAUCACGUGAGAUGGAGUAGUUUCAUUGGUGAACAUCAUUAUGUUGAUCAUAUCUACUAUAUGAUUCACGCUCGACCUUUCGGUCUCCAUGUUCCGAGGCCAUAUCUGUAUAUGCUUGGCUCGUCAAGUAUAACCUGAGUAUUCCGCGUGUGCAACUGUUUUGCACCCGUUGUAUUUAAACGUAGAACCUAUCACACCCGAUCAUCACGUGGUGUCUCAGCACGAAGAACUUUCGCAACGGUGCAUACUCAGGGAGAACACUUCUUGAUAAUUAGUGAGAGAUCAUCUUAUAAUGCUACCAUCAAUCAAAGCAAGAUAAGAUGCAUAAAAGAUAAACAUCACAUGCAAUCAAUAUAAGUGAUAUGAUAUGGCCAUCAUCAUCUUGUGCUUGUGAUCUCCAUCUCCGAAGCAUCGUCGUGAUCACCAUCGUCACCGGCGUGACACCUUGAUCUCCAUCGUAGCGUCGUUGUCGUCUCGCCAAGCUUGUGCUUCCACGACUAUCGCUAACGUUUAGUGAUAAAGUAAAGCAUUACAUCGUGAUUGCAUUGCAUACAAUAAAGCGACAACCAUAUGGCUCCUGCCAGUUGCCGAUAACUCGGUUACAAAACAUGAUCAUCUCAUACAAUAAAAAUCAGCAUCAUGUCUUGACCAUAUCACAUCACAACAUGCCCUACGCAUCAAAACCACAACGAUAGUUUGUCAAGUUGGUGCUGUUUUAACCUUCGCAAGGACAGGGCGUAGCCACACUCAGUUCAACUAAAGUUGGACAAACUGUCACCCACAAGCCACCUCUGUGCAAAGCACGUCGGGAGAACCGGUCUCGCGUAAGCGUACGCGUAAUGUCAGUCGGGGCCGCUUCAUCCAACAAUACCGCCGAACCAAAGUAUGACAUGCUGGUAAGCAGUAUGACUUAUAUCGCCCACAACUCACUUGUGUUCUACUCGUGCAUAUAACAUCAACAUAUAAAACCUAGGCUCGGAUGCCACUGUUGGGGAACGUAGUAUUUCAAAAAUUUCCUACGCACACGCAAGAUCAUGUGAUGCAUAGCAACGAGAGGGGGGAGUGUGAUCUACAUACCUAGUAGAUCGACAACGGAAGCGUUUGGUUGAUGUAGUCGUACGUCAUCACGGCCCGACCGAUCAAGCACCGAAACUACGGCACCUCCGAGUUUUAGCACACGUUCAGCUCGAUGACGAUCCCCGGACUCCGAUCCAGCAAAGUGUCGGGGAAGAGUUCCGUCGGCACGACGGCAUGGUGACGAUCUUGAUGUACUACUGCAGCAGGGCUUCGCCUAGACUCCGCUACAAUAUUAUCGAGGACUAUGGUGGCUGGGGCGCCGCACAUGGCUAAGGAAAAGAUCACGUGGAUCAACUUGUGUGUCUCUGGGGUGCCCCUGCCUCUGUAUAUGAAGUACUAAAGGGGGGAAGGCUGGCCGGCCAAGGAGGGCGCGCCAGGAGAGUCCUACUCCCUCUGGGAGUAGGAUUCGCCCCCCCCCCCCCAAUCCUAGUUGGAAUAGGAUUCGCGGAGGGGGAAAAAGAGAGAGAGGGGCCGGCCCCCUCUCCUUGUCCUAUUCGGACCAAGGGAGGGGAGGGGCGCGCGGCCCAUGAGGGGCUGCCUCUUCUCUUUUCCACUAAGGCCCAUCAUGGCCCAUAUAGCUCCCGGGGGGUUCCGGUAACCUCCCGGUACUCCGGUAAAAUCCCGAUUUCACCCGGAAUACUUCCGAUAUCCAAACAUAGGCUUCCAAUAUAUCAAUCUUUAUGUCUCGACCAUUUCGAGACUCCUCGUCAUGUCUGUGAUCACAUCCGGGACUCCGAACAACCUUCGGUACAUCAAAAUGCAUAAACUCAUAAUAUAACUGUCAUCAUAACCUUAAGCGUGCGGACCCUACGGGUUCGAGAACAAUGUAGACAUGACCGAGACACGUCUCCGGUCAAUAACCAAUAGCGGGACCUGGAUGCCCAUAUUGGCUCCUACAUAUUCUACAAAGAUCUUUAUCGGUCAGACCGCAUAACAACAUACGUCGUUCCCUUUGUCAUCGGUAUGUUACUUUCCCGAGAUUCGAUCGUCGGUAUUCCAAUACCUAGUUCAAUCUCGUUGCCGGCAAGUCUCUUUACUCGUUCUGUAAUACAUCAUCCCGCAACUAACUCAUUUAGUUGCAAUGCUUGCAAGGCUUAAGUGAUGUGCAUUACCGAGAGGGCCCAGAGAUACCUCUCCGACAAUCGGAGUGACAAAACCUAAUCUCGAAGUACGCCAACCCAACAUGUACCAUUGGAGACACCUGUAGUACUCCUUUAUAAUCACCCAGUUACGUUGUGACGUUUGGUAGUACCCAAAGUGUUCCUCCGGUAAACGGGAGUUGCAUAAUCUCAUAGUUAUAGGAACAUGUAUAAGUCAUGAAGAAAGCAAUAGCAACAUACUAAACGAUCGGGUGCUAAGCUAAUGGAAUGGGUCAUGUCAAUCAGAUCAUUCUCUUAAUGAUGUGAUCCCGUAAAUCAAAUAACAACUCAUUGUUCAUGGUUAAGAAACAUAACCAUCUUUGAUUAACGAGCUAGUCAAGUAGAGGCAUACUAGUGACACUUUGUUUGUCUAUGUAUUCACACAUGUAUUAUGUUUCUGGUUAAUACAAUUUUAGCAUGAAUAAUAAACAUUUAUCAUGAUAUAAGGAAAUAAAUAAUAACUUUAUUAUUGCCUCUAGGGCAUAUUUCCUUCAGUGUACUCCCAUUUAGAUAUGUGCACAAGCGAUGUAUGAAGAUUCAAAUACCGAGUCAACCAACCAAGAAUGUACGGAACUAACAGACAUAUAAUCACUUAUAGAGUAUAUGGAUCAAUAAUAUCAACUAACAUACAUAAGCCAGCUCGCUGUACUUUUUUUGGCUACAACAGCAUCCUUUUUUUAGCCAGCAUCUUGGCCCUUUCCAAUGCGUGCCACUUAUGGUCCAUCUAUACUAGUAUUGCUGAAUGCACAUUCAGCCCGAUUGGCAUAUUUGUAGGUCUGGCACAGCAAUCCAAAUAAAAUGUCUCCGAGUCUUAUCAAUUAAUACAGACUUGUGCUCAAAUAAAAUUACAAACAAAAAAACAAAAAAAAACAAUUAUUACAUGAUCUCUAAAACAAAUGGUUUGAUUGAUUACAUGAACAGACAACACAAACGUUAUUCAACUAUGGAAAGAACAUUUCACCUAUGAUUUACCAAGUAGGAAUUUAAUUUCCUUUUUUCCUUCAGGACCUUAACAAUCUGGUCAGUCUCAGCUUGCUUCGUUUUGAAAUCCACCAAAUAUUUAAUGGUUGUCUUGAGUACUGCUUGUAAUUGUGCUGUUUGCUUCCUCAACAUGUCAACUUCAUCUCUAAGUGCAGAAGCAGAAUCUCUUUCUACCACUAGUUUAGCCUCUAGAGCAUUAGUAGUUGGCAAUUCAUAAUGCACAAUUGGGCCGGUGCCACUGCUGUGGGAUGAUGCAACGUCCAUGGGGACCUCGCUCUUUGAUCUUGGGCUAACCUGUUUUACCAUUAAAGUUCCGAUUGGAUUCAGAAAAGUUGAAGUUAGCAAAACAUCUCAACUGGGAGUUAUAACAGCAAACCAGUUAAACAAACAAGGAAUUAAAGAGUUUCAAUUGGAUGCUGAAAAGUAGUUAUUAACAUCAUUGUAACCCACUGUUGCAGCAGCAAAGCAGUUAAACAAACAAGUAGAUAUUUAAGUUAAGGCAAACAGGUAAUUCUUAACAGUAAGUAUCAAACACAUAGAUAGGCGCAGUCUACAAUAUGAUUAACAUGAUGUGCCAUUAUGUAAUCAGUAGCAAACUAAAUUAAGCCAAGCAACAUAAUUGAAUAAUUUCGCAAUAAGUGGCUAACUAAAAUUCCGAGAAGCAGGUAACUGAACUUAUGCUAGUUCUUUGUACAGGCACACUGCAACUUCUUUUUCGCUUACAUGGUUGUACGAAGGAGUCCAUGGCAUCAAUUGCUUAGAUACGCAGUCCUAAUACUUCUUUCUUCCCACAUUGCAUGGGUAAGUCGAAUGGUUAAUCUGGUAAGAUGGUGCGUCCUUGAUAUGUCAUAUGAGGACGUGUAGUCAGACUAGUUGUAGCCAAACACAUCACACUGGCUUUUACUGUAUAUUUCAUGCGAUUACUUUUGGCAUAUCGAGAUCUAAGCAAUCUACAAUAGGAUGAAAUGACUGGCAUCCUUCACAUUAUUGGCGAACUUAGUUCAUAGAAACAAGCAAUUCAACCAUUCUGUGUGUAAAUCAAAAGCGCCACUGGAAUAUUUUUCACUAUCCAAUCAUGCACGCAAAAAGGGGCGACCCCACCAUAGGGGCUGGUAUGGGUGGCCGCCUCAGGUGGCUGGAAAGUGUGCACCUAGUUUGAGUCGUCCAGGUUGGCCCAUUCUAGUUUUGUUCGUCCCAACGCACGAGCAGGCAACGUAAAAAAUGAAGAAAAAUGUUUCAAUUUGGAUGGGCCAAAAACAUAAGUGCAAGGCAGGCCCUAUAGCAGGCUCGCGGCCCAAAUGAGCGCCUCCCAUAUCGAUCGACAGCAGGAAAAAUCCCAAUUCAUUCGCUCCAGCCUCCAGUCUGGUUCGCUCCUAACCUAGCCGUCGCUAGACAGACCGACACGGCACUUCCUCGCGCCCUCGUUGGAGGGCGGUCGCCGGGCUUCAAGCGAACGGAAGGACAAGAAGAUGAAGAUCCAACCCUGGGUGUAGCCUGCGUGGGAGGCAGCGGGCGGCAGCACGAGCAUGGCAUCGAGCUUGCACAAACGGACAGUCGCUAAUUGCAAGAGUAGCAUACGCAACGAGCAGGUACAUCACAUCCCUGAUUAUAUCUAAUUCAACUCUUCAAUUUCUGGUCAAUAGUUAAACCUGACGGUGUUGUAAAACUGCUUGUAUGUAGGGAAUCUAUGAGAAAAUGAAACCAAUUUCUACUUAUUUUAUAACUCCCCCAAUCAAUACUGAACUGACUGAAUCUGAUGUAUCUAAUCAAGUUUCCGAUGCAAACAUACAAGCUCAUGUUGUUCUUGAGCCUGAAGUGUCUAAUGAACAGACUGCUAAUGAAGGAUUUGAUGCAAACAUUUUACAUGCUCCUGGUGAUGAACAUAUAGUGUCUAAUGAGGGAUCUAAUGCAAGCAUUUUGCAAGCUCAUUGAAGGAUUUAGUGUCUAAUGAUGAUCUACUAUGUUAAGAGAGACAGAGAUUUGCAGGCAUUGAUGACAAGAAAAUUAUAGUGCAUUUUCAUAGCUUGAGGAAACAUCGAGGCCAUCUACCAGAAAGUCCCCGUAUCAUGACAACAUAGCAUAAAUACUUUUCUAAUCUGUUGUUUGAAACUAUUGGCAUACUUGUGCAUGAUAGAUAUAUUGAUAUGCAGUUUGCGCACUGGUUAUACAUGCAAUUACACUUCGAUAUUUUCAGCCAGAGAACGAAUAAUUCAAGCAGGUACAGACCAUGUUUGUAGUCCUUGUACACCAUGUUGCAUUUUAUGUUUUUUGGUGCUUGCAUCAUUUAGUGUUUAUAAUCUGAACUACUUUGGAUCAUUAGCUGGUUUUCAAAGUGCAUGUAGCUUCACAUUUCUUAAGUUAUGUUGAUUUCCGGAGUGCAAGUGCCUUCGUAUUUUUUAAGUUAAAUGUUCGCCCCUGGUAACUUGAAUUCGUCGAUCAGCCACUGCACACAAAUCAUACACGAAUACCAGUAUGAAUUAAAUGAAAUGCAGGGACUUACGCUAGCUCAUUGUACAGGCUCACUUCAGCUCUGAUUGCGCUUGGGAUGUUCCAUGUACAAGUCCAUGUUACCACUUGCUUGGAUGUGCAGGCCUUGUGCUCCUUGCAUCCCCCUCUGCAUUUUUGACACGGUGAAUGGUUGAUUAAAUAAGAGGAAUCGACCUUGAUGUUGUACCGGAGGACAGAUACUUACAAGGUUAUACGGGUGUGCAAGAUGUGUACCAGAUCCCGUAGCGCCGUCAUGCUUCGCUAAAUAUGGAUUUGCUUGUUUCAGAUGAUAUCUCCAGAAGAAAUAAGAGUUAAGGUCAGAGUUGCAUAGGCGUGUAAGCUAAGAGAGCAGUGAAAGGAUAUCCAAACAUCGUUGGAACAGUGCACAAGGGAGUGAUGUGUGGAUACCUAGUUCGGGCCGGCGUUUGGGCAUGCUCGCCUAGCUAGAGUCUUGGUCACUUCAGAGCCGUUGAGGGUGAUGCGCUGGAGUUGGCUGGCCGUGCACGGAUGCAGAUCUGGAGUGGCAGCGGAGCGCUAUGAUGCGGUGGACGAGACCGUUGGUGAAGCCCCAACGGCCUCGGGGGGCGGAGGUGCGACGAUGUGCUCGGUGAAGUAGCCCCGGUGAGCUGGGAGACGGCGUCGGUGAAGCGCACCUGAUGCAGUGGAACUCGGUGUCUGUGAGGCACGUUAGUUGCGGCGGCCGACGUUGUCGGUGGACCACCCGGUGUGGUGGACGACGGCGUAGAUGAGGUAGCUCCGGUGCGGUGGUGAAGCGCGACCGUCGUCUUCGUCGUUGUCGUCCGGCACAGAGGUGGGGAACGGUGGGGAAAGAGACGAGAUGAGGGGCGAUUCGAGGGUUGGCGGCGAAUUAGGGAUUUGAGCAAUCUGGGCGCGGAAGGAGACGGUGGAGAAAAGAGAUUUUGCAAGGCUGGAAUUGGGGCCGCCAGAUAUUUCAAUCCGAAACGUGGAAGCACGAACUUAUAUUAUCGUCGUCCUUUUGGGGGGGGGGGGUGGCUGGGUGGUACGCGUCCGUCCGACACACGCGACCACCCCGACAGGACUAUGCUUCGGUGCCUUAAGGCACCUGCCUUUGUGUCCAUGACAUAUGGGCCCAACAGGUGGCUGGCCCACAUGCCAGUGACGCAAAGGCAGUUGCCUUUAAGGCACCGAAGCAGCGUCCACAAUGACACGACUUUGGUUUGCCUGGUGUGCCUACAUUUGAGAAUGCAAACGAAUCUUCUUUCAUUUGCAAACGAAUCUGUAUGUAUUACCAUGCCCGUGUUUUCCUUGCAAUAAUUAGUCAUUCGAAACGAGAUAUUCCAUCCGUUCACUUUUGUAAGUCGUUUCAAACAACUUAAAAUGAACUGUUUUGCACAUUGUCUGAAAUGUCUUCAAGGUCUUAUAAAAGUGAACAGAGGGAGUACUAUAAAUUAAUUAAUGAGGAGUUAUUUGAAAAAAAAAAUCAAAACGGUACCCACGCUAACGUGGAUUAGAGUGUGUCUCACAUAAUUAGUUAUUUGAAUUAGAGUGUGUGUCAUGUAGUUAGUUAUUUGAAUUAAAGUGUGUGUCACGUAGCGAUCUCCAAUUCUAACGUGGAUUUCACAUUUCACUGUAUCCAUGCUACUUUUUUUUUAAUACAAAUGCAUAUGUAUAUGAUGAACACCAUGGUAGUGAGAAAACUUUUGGAUGGAUUCAAACAUAUGACCUACAGAAUAGCACAACAAACUGAGUCAAUGUCAACUUUUCGAAACUUAGUAUGGCACAAAUUCGAAAUAAUUACCCGUAUGCCUGCUCCUCGGUUCAAGUCUUACAAUGUACACCGAAUUGAAACAUCGAUAUUAAGUCUCGUACUAUGUACAUUCAAAUGUUGUUUUUNNNNNNNNNNNNNNNNNNNNNNNNNNNNNNNNNNNNNNNNNNNNNNNNNNNNNNNNNNNNNNNNNNNNNNNNNNNNNNNNNNNNNNNNNNNNNNNNNNNNNNNNNNNNNNNNNNNNNNNNNNNNNNNNNNNNNNNNNNNNNNNNNNNNNNNNNNNNNNNNNNNNNNNNNNNNNNNNUUCCUCUAUUAACCACCUUAGGAUGCUACCGGUUUCCAACACACGUUCAUUCUUUCUCUCCAUGUUUCGAUCUCUAAGUCUCUCAACUACACAACCCCUUUUUCUACUCUGUUACCAAAUGUAUUUACCUCACACACCCGCCAUUGCACCCCAUGCCGAGCUCUCUCUCUCCCCCCUCUCCCUCUCACCCUCUCGCGCUAAAUACAUGCAUUGCCUAUCUAGCCCCCCAACCUCUCGUGCAUGCGCACGCAUGCACGUUGUAUAUCUAGGUCACUCCCUCGAGACUGUCUCACUCUUUCUUCCGCACGGCGGGCAACACUCGCUAAAUCUCGCUCUAUUUAUCUGAGUCUCGUUUAACCUCGUUUUCUUUCACACACAAAUGAUAUAUCUCCCUGUUCGGGCCUCGAUCGACACACUCUAUACUCUCUCACGUAGAUUGUCUAUCUAGGUCAGUCCAUCCAAGACGCCACCACUCUUUCGGCCUCAUGGUGGGCCACGCUCACUCAAUCUCUCUCUCUCUAUCUCUCCGUAUGUCUCGAUUGACCUUGCUCUUUCUCGGACAAAAAGAUAUAUCACCAUGUUUGAGCCCAAUUCGACCUAUUCACAUUGUAUACUCUCUCACGCACAUCGUCUAUCUAGGUCACUCUUUCGAUCGCACGGCGACCCUAUGUGAUCGGUUGACCUUGCUUCCUCCCACGCACAAAAUAUAUCUACACGUCUUCACUUACUGGUGGGUUCCAUGUGUGCUCUCUCUCUCUCUCGUCCCCUUCUGCGUUUAGACGCACAGGCAAACAGGAAGAACUCGCGGGCGAUGUUGCCGUUGACCAUAUCUAGACGCGUUCACAAGUCACGGCACCAGUUUCACGUACUAGGAGCACUAGUCAGUGUGUACGUGCAAUGCACAUUAAUUUGGAUGUAUAUUAAGUGCAUGCGGAUAUUAACUACUAGGAUAUUAUUCACGUGUUGUCAUGUGAUUAGCACUAUUUUUGGCAUGAAAUUAACUGCACGCUAAACGUGUUGAGCGCUCGACAUUGAAGCAGUCUAGGUCAUUGGAUGACAAGGAAUACAUGUGGCUUGAUGACGUUUUAUAUUUAAUUUGAUACGGCUCUAGCAGAACAUUCAAUCGAUCAAACCAUACAUUUCGUUCAGUCUGACUCCGACUUUAAAUUAUACGACGAUCGAUAUAAAAUAAACGGAAAUGAUAAACGUUCGGAUUUUAAGCAUGGCAAUACGAACGUUUUUCAUGGCAAAUUUAGAUUACGCGGCGGCGGCGGGGGCGUCUCGCGGUGGGAAGCGGCUCCUCUGCCGUGCUCUGUGUGUCGUCGGGCCACUGACCGAUGGCGACGGCGGCGUCUUGCGCCGUUGUUGGCGUACUCCUGGACGUUGGCCUAGCUUCAAGGAAGGCCAAAAUGUUCUGGACUUCGGAGCGAGUCGACUGGCGGGAGGAGGCGACUGGCAUUGGUGCAAGAAAGCGGUCGACGGCGGCCAUCCAUGCCGCUGAGGGGGGCACUGGCACCCGUGCGGGGAUAGGCGCUGUCAACGGCGCGGCAGAGACAUUCGUGUGCACGGGCGCGCACGUCAGUGCACGCGCAGGCGCUGGCAGGUGCAUGGGCACCGGCACGGGCGUGCGCGUCAGUGCACGUGCAGGCGCAUGCGCUGGCAGGUGCACUGGCGCGUUAAAGUCGGCGGGCACCUCGUGGAACCCCGUGAGAUCAAGCUCGGCGACAAUGUGCAGCUCCCAGCCCAUCAAUGCCACGGGGAUGGGCGCUGGCGCAGUCGGGGCGACGGGAGCCGGAACGGGAGCGGGGACAGGCGCGGCGUCUUCCCGCAAGGCCAGUUCAAGCUCGUCCCAAAGCGCCUUAUGUUCUUGAGACUCCGGCUGAGUGUCUUCCUCAGGAAACUGGAACACUAAGGGCAGACCAUCAUGAUGCGGCAUGGCGUACGUUUAGGUCAGGCUAGUUGGAGGUAGACGAUAGGAGAAUCGGAGAGGAAGAGAGAGGAUUGUAGCGAUACUCCCUCCUUUCCGAUUUAUAAGGCUCAAUUCAAAAAUCUCACCAACCAAGGUAGAUGGUGAGUGGUGGAAUACUUUUUGUAGUUUGCAAAAGCACCCAAUUAAUGCUCUUGUUUUUCUCAAAAAAUAUGUUUACCAAUGCAUUAAUUGCAAUGCAUGCAUGCAUAAAUUAUAUGCAUUGGUCAAUUUUCUCUUAAUACUUGCAUACAAUGAUUUAAUUUACCUUGGAAUCUGAACAUGUGAUGGGAAACAACAAAAUUGAGCCUUAUAAAAUGGAAAAACUAAUAUUUUGAGAUAAGACCUAUAAACCGGAAAGGAGGGAGUACCGGGUAGUGCGGGGUUGAUUUUAAACUGCGGCGCCAGUGACAUUAAAAGUGGGAGCAGUUGGGACGACGGUGGGCGGCGGAGCCUGGUCAAAGGGCUCGCCUCCCGGUGAGCCUGCACAGCGGUCUGCUCGCACGCCUCCCUGACAGCCGGCGCAACGGUCUGCUCGCACGCCUCCCGUCGACUCACACGCUUGCUUGGACGGCACCUGCCGACUGCCGAUGAGAAGCGGGGACUCGUGGUGGCACGUAAACACCCACGGUUUCAAUAGUGAAAGCGUUUGCCUUAACGUGACAGGUCUUUCUUCCAAAAUACCUUGGCUCUUCAUUUGUGCAACUUGUCAUAAGCAGCUUGUCUCAAAUUGAAGAAAAAACUUACAAAAUAAUAUUUGUGCCAUAUCACGUGACCAUGCUUAGUUCAAGAAUUUAUGCUCACUUUUGGAUUUUCAGAAAUUUAAGAUCCAGGAUUCGAAACAAUAUCAUAACCUGCAUCAUGCAAUAAAUUUUCAAGUCGUACAUCAGUACUGUUGUAUUUCUUAAGAAAGGAUUUGGUCAAACAUUUUGCUUAGUUAGACUUCAGACAAGUUAUAUAUGCAGAGUAAAAGGAUAAUCCCUCCGUACCAGUGCAUUGCCUGAUAUAUUAACUCAAGUAAUAGGCACGAACAAACGGGCUCAAUUCUGUGCUCAUCCUGGUGUAGUAGUAGUAGUAGUAGUAGUAGUAGUACUAGGCAAUGCAGUUGACGGGUGACCUUGACGAGCGGCGACCGAGGGAAUUGAACCAUGCUCGACACGGUAGGUAACGUUGUCUAGUUACUAAAGCAUCCCUCCGUUGUUCAUCGGUAGUCAUUAUGGACCGGGGACAUGAGGGGAAUUUCCUAGGGCUGGAAUUCUGGCCGCCAGAUAUUUCGACUUGAAACGCUGAGGCUCGACUGGUUGGGGUAAUGGGGUUGCCUAAUGUGCGUACCACGCAUGCCACCGAAGGACACGAGCCCGCUUUUUUUUAGGAUCAACACGAGCCAAGGUGUGGCUGGUACGCCGUUGGGUCCUACCAUUCGAGAAUACGAAAUGAACCUUUUAAAUUGCCGAACGAAUCUAUGUGUAUUACAAUACCCGUAUUUUCCUUGCAAAUACUAAUCUCAACGUGGUAAUUGAUUUAUGACGAGUUGUUGAAUUAGAGUGAGUUUGUGAUAUAGUGAUCUCAACGUGGAUUUCACAUUUCAUGGUAUUCCUAGUAUGUUUUCCAAUGCAAAUUCAAAUUUAAAAGAUGAACAACAUGGAGGUGAGAAAACUUUGUAUGUAUUAAGCAUAUGACCACACACACACAGAGAGACACACACGCACGAACACAACAACAAUCCAAUAAGUAUAGUGCAUCUAUUUUUCCAAACCAUGCAUGUAUGACACGAAUUCAAAAAUACUCCUUCUAUUCCUAAAUAUUAGUCUUUUAGAGAGUUCAACAAGUGACUACAUACGGAGCAAAAUGAGUGAAUCUAGACUCUAAAAUAUUUCUAUAUACAUCCGUAUGUGCCAGUCCAUUUGAAGCCUCUAAAAAGACUAAUAUUUGGGAACGAAGGGAGUAAAAUAUAAGACAUCCAUGGUCCUCAGUUCAAUAUUUAAAAUGAACAUGAAACUGAAACAUGAAUAUUAAGUCUAUUACUACAGUACAUGCAAAUGUUCUGUUAAGGCGGAGCUAUGAUUGUCGGGGGUCAACCCCUCGACCUUAGAUAAAAUUGUGGAGUUCCGUUUAGGAUUGUUUAGAUUAUAUUUGUCCCCACCCUCCCAGCCAUCGAUUGGUUGUGCACCGCCACCCCUCCUCCCCGGGAGAAUAUCAUGUGCCCCCAUACCUUAGAUGCUAUAUGCCGAUACGAGUUGCUUGGAGCUUGUAGAUCUGAGAUAUAGCAGCUCACAUGAUGUGUCUUAAUAUUUCCGCAGGAAACCUUGAUGAGUUUGAGAAUUGCACACAAUUUGUACAAAAACUACUUAGAUGCCCUUUGAUCCCAUAUCCAACGACCUCGAAGCUCGUAUCACCGUAGCAUCUAAGAUGAAGGAGGGCAUCAUAUUCUCCUGUAUGUAAGAAUAUCAUGUGCUACCACACCUUAGAUGCUUUGGUGAUACAAGCUCUUCGGAGGCGUUGGAUUUGUGACCAACACCUGCUCGGUGGUUCGAAUGGUUUUUUGCAGAAAAGCCCCAAAAGAGUUCGGCCACUGCUUACAAGCACAAAGACUGCUCAGAUGCCAUUGGAUCUCAGAUCAAACGACCUCCAAGCUCGUAUCACCGUAGCAUCCACGCUGCGAUAGCACCUUAUGUUUUCUCGCACGGGAUAGUAUGAGGUGCUCCCGCACCGUAGAUUCUAUGGUGAUACGAGUUCACUGAGAUCUAACGGCCCACAAUAGGAGGUUUGAAUGUUUUUGCAAUAUACGGCUGAUAGAGUUUGGAAAAUGCGCAGAAAGUACAAGUACUACGCAUGUGCCAUCUGAUCACUGAUCAUAUGACCUAGAUGCUCAUAUCACCGUAGCGGGUAAUUAAGCUACGGGGAGCACCUAAUAUGAGCACCGGGGAGCCGUUGGAUCGAAGAUGCAGCGGCACACACGAGGCCUGAAUGUUUUAUUUGCAAAAAAACCUUUGAAGAGUUUGGAAAUUGCGCUAGUCACUCCUUUCAUGCAUUGCAUCAUACCAAACUAUAAAUAUGACAUUUGAACAUGUUUACUUGCCAAUGUUUUUCCAAUACACUAAAAUUAAUGAACAACACAUAGUUAUGUAGUCACAAAUUAAUGACAACAUUUUCCCCUUAAUUUCUCUCUCUGAACUCUACAGUGUCAUAUUAGUAAAUUAUACCGCCAUGUCUACAUGAUCUAACGGGGGUGUUUGCUACGGCUGAUGAGGCGGUCCCUUCAUAUUGUUUCCGAACAUGAAAAUCAAUGCCUCUCUACAAAAUCAACCUUGUAAAUAACUUUAAUAUGUAAGCAUGAAACUGGUACCUAGGUACUAAAGUUUGAUUCUACGAUUUUUUUGUGCGCCGAGUUGCUCCUUUUCUAUAACUAGGGCUAGGCAUUUCAUAGUGACGAAGCUUGGACAAUGAAUUAAAAUUAUUAUGGGUACAUUGUGGUUUUAUGGCUAAAUUUCUAACAAUGCCCACCACUGAAGCUGACAAUAAUGUCAAAUCAGCCUAUGUUGUUCAUCAUUAAGAUUUUCUGGUGUAUGUAAGAUUGUGAGCCAUGUAAAAUAACUAAACUAUUCUAUUUUAUCUAUGGUGUCAACUCCGAUUUAUUAAAAAAUAAUUGAAACCAACCAACUUCAUGCCAAGCUGGUAAAUAUAUUAAUUGGGGCUAGCUCCCAAGCCAUAUUCUUGCAAUUUGUGGCUACAUAUAGUCCACUAUAUAAAGAUUACAACGUAGCUACACAAGCAUCGAAAAACACAAAGGAUGGAUACAAUUGCUUCAGCUUGACUGAAUUUUAAAAGGUUUCUAUAUACCUUUUCGAGUCGCCAUCGAUAUAUAUAUGGGAAGGCGUAAUCGAGAACAUUAAAAAAAUACAUUGUGAUGUUCUGGGUUUAACGGAGAUUAAAAUGACUUGUUUGGGUGACGUCCAUACAACAAGUUAUCCAAAACUUUGGGUGACGUUUAUGAAUAUGUUGUAAAAAGAUAAACUCUUCUUGCACUAGUGAUCAUAGAAAGCAUGAACGAACUUUGGCUAACUAACUUUCUGAGGCCACACCGCAUUUGAACCCCUCCAGGAACAAAUUAUUGACACGGUUAUUGUGCCUGAGACAUCUGGCCACCCAUUCAAGCACUUUGAUUAGCACUAUGUUGUCCUCCACGAGGAUUGAAAGCAGACUCCCCCUACUUGUGCAUUCAUCAGACCUCUUUGAAGCUACACAUGUGAUUGCACUCCAGCACCAUGUGAAAGAUUUUGAAUCCCGCUGAGCCCCAUGAUUCCGCACCUGCAAACUGGAUCUGAUGGAUACCUUGGUUCCGCGGUUGCUCCUAUGGACCAGGUGGAAAUUGCAAAGUUUUGCAAACAACUGAGAUCGCUGAAGCACGUUGAUAUCAUUGUGAGGCCUGUCAAGCUAAAGAAAGAAUACCAAAUCCACAAGUGUUGUGAUGUGAUGCAGCGAUGGCGGGCGUUUUGGUACGAUCUAGGCAUUAUCAUCGCAAACUUGUUGGAUAGUUCUUUCACUUCUCGGCAGCGCUCGAAUUGACGAAACCGAGCAUUACCAGGGAAAUCCUCUCGCUUCUCCAAGUCCCCAAAGCUUGGUUGUUUGAUAUAACCCUUUUACUCCCCGUUCAAUGUAUUUUUCUGACCCGGAUGGGUCUGCGGACGUUUGAUGUACCAUGUCAGGUGACAAAAAGUGUUUGAACCGCGUGGUUCAGACCGGAUUUGAUGCAUACUAGGCUACUAGCAUUGGAGUUGCCCUAACCUUUCCAUAUGCAAGCAUCAUCAUCACUAGUUUAAUCGUAGAACGAGAUAGUCCCAUGGUUCGUUUCAGCGGCCACCGACGGGAGGCACGUGCGACGUUGUUUCUCCACUACUAUUAAACAAUCAAACAAGAACUUUCUUACGUGCACCCCGUAAAACGUAUACGGAUUCAUUAUGACCGCAUGAUUAAGCCCAGUAAACUCAAUCUAACGGCUAGCCUUAACCUAAUCCAUUCUCUGUGUGCACUUAACAAUUUACAUUGACUGACUGUGCUUCAUCAUAUGAAACUCCACGUCCGAUCAAUUAGGAAACUAUAAUCAUGAUCACGUUUUCUUAGGAAACUAAUCACGAUCACAUCUUCUUAGGAAACUAAUCACGAUCACGUUUUAUUAGAAAACUAAUCAUGAUCGCAUUUUAUUAGGAAACUAAUCACGAUCGCAUUUUAUUAGGAAACUAAUCGGGUAUAUUCGCACACAUUGACACGUCCAUCACCUCGACCUCCUGGAUCACGAUCCUAUCUCUCCCAAGAAAAACCACCACAACCGGACUCCACUCAGCGGCGACAAGGAGCCAAGGACCAACAACUCCUUCUCAGGGGACGCUGCCGGAGUGCCGGUAAUUCGUGAACCGCCGAGGGUGCCGCACCGGUCGCCCCUUCUCAGGGGAUGCCGUUGGAGUGCCGGUAAUUUAUGUUGCUUGUAAGACAACUGCCCAGCCAGCAUUUAUGGUUUCUUGCGAACUUACACGACGUGCCUGUGCUGACUUGUAUUUUUCAAAAUAAGGUUUCUAUGCAUUACUAACCAGAGUGUGCUAUCUUUAUAUCUUCGGUGUUUCUUAGCAUAUGUCGUUUACAUGUGUCAUCAACACAUCAUUUGUUUUUUCUUAAUUUGUAACACUUGUACUGCUCGAGUUGGUUUAUUUUAAGUUGUUACAUUUGGAACUCCUUUCACUUCAUAAAGGGGCUGGAUGGUCUAAAUUGCAAGAUGUGAUUUUUUUCUCUCACAUGAACCAUCUAUAAAUAAAUAUAUUUUUACUAUUCUUCUACGUAUAAAUACUUUGAGGUCCUUUCGCUGUUCAUUCGGUUAAUGGUUAGGAACUAAUGACCAUCAAAUUAUUUUUAUUGUUUGAUAGUAUUACACAUAAGUGGGUGUAAAGGAAAACUAUCAAAAAUGGUCAUGAAUUGCAUUUUUUUCUUAUUUUCUACAACUGGUGCUUCUCCAUAUGUCCCCAUUGUGUUCCGGGAUAUUAUUUUGUACUAUUGUUUUCCUAUGUCUACCCUUGUAUUUAUUCAGCGCAUUGUUCUUUUCGCAUUUUGGCAUGAAAGCUUGCUGGCUUGGAGGAGGAUGAACACAGAUGAAAGAGGGGAAACAUUGUAGAAUUGUGUAUGUUGCUUGCCAAGUUUAGCUUUGGAUUUUUAGUUCUUUGACACUUCGUGCAGAAUGAACUAAAUAUUUACAUGUCAAGAGCAUCUUGAUGCAUAUAAAGAGUAAACGGAGGCAUGAAAUAACGAGUUGUAUGGGUUGAUUUAUACUCUCCAGUUUUAUGUAUGUUUGUGACUGUGUGUACCAGACAUGAACAUUCAUCGUUUCAUGCGUUGUCAAGCUUUCCUAUACGCCACAAGACGCAAAGCAACCUUUUAUCUACCACAUGUUGGCAUCUACUUGAAAUGCAACCAAUAAUUAUACGUGUGUUGCACGUGAACACUUACUAGUUGCAGAGAAAAAUGAGAAAAAAAAGGGUUUCCACGCGUCUGGCCAGUUGGUCUAAAAUCGGGCUGGCCUGCUGGAGCCUGGUCCUCUCCUAGCGCAUUGUUGAUUGAUUCACGGGAAGAGCGAGACGAGACGCCAAGAAGUCGGGCAAGUCGUGAGGCCGCCUGCCUCCGCCCGCCCAGGACUCGAUCUCGAUCCCCGUCCUCCUGCCCGCAAGCCAGAUUGGACGCCGCGGGAGCGCCCAGAUCCCGCCAUGAAUCCCGAGUAGUAAGUCCCUCCCUCCUCUGCUUCCCCCCCNNNNNNNNNNNNNNNNNNNNNNNNNNNNNNNNNNNNNNNNNNNNNNNNNNNNNNNNNNNNNNNNNNNNNNNNNNNNNNNNNNNNNNNNNNNNNNNNNNNNNNNNNNNNNNNNNNNNNNNNNNNNNNNNNNNNNNNNNNNNNNNNNNNNNNNNNNNNNNNNNNNNNNNNGGUCGGGGCUUUUAGGGUGAGAUGAGAUCUCGCUGGAUCUGGCGCGGGGGAGAGUUGACCCUCGAUCCCAGCAGAUUCGUCGCGUUUUUUUCUUUUCUUGCUUGGUCUGGAUCGCGUCCGCGGGGGAAUGCCACCUAGGAGAGUUUGUUUAAAUUAUUAGGUGAAAUUUGAAGCGUAAUCGUUUGCUCUAUGGACCUAUCUCGCUGGAUGCCGCGGGGUAGAUGCGCUUCAUUUUGAUUAGUGUUUCGAGGGGCUGUUUAUUGUGGAUUUCAGGUUUCUACUACGGAGUACUAUCUAAUGGCAGUAAAAGAACAGGCCAUUUUGUCUGCACAAGGAGGAUAGGUCUAUUUUGGUGAAUUAUGCAUGCUAAUAUCACUUGCACCAUCUCUAGUUUCGCAAUCACUUUGUUGAGUCUCAUGUUUUUACUCCCAAAAAGGAAUGAAAGAAAAAAA